UUGAUUGAUAUCUAUUUUGUAUAUAGGUCUUGUAUGCUAUUAGGAGCAUGGAGGCCUCCGUGCUCCUAAGCCGUUUUCGAUAAUAGAAUGUAUAGUGUAGGACCUGUAGGUCUUAUUGCUAUUAAGAGCACAGAGGUUUCCGUACUCCUAAGCCGUUUUCGAUGAUGAAGCUUCCGAAUUGACGAUCGGCUUCGUUAAACAUAAUCUAGCGUAUUUGAACUAUCUAGAAAAUAAAAUUUGAGAUUUUUUUAUGUCAGUUAUCUAGUGAUUGAAAGUACUCAAAAUCAACAAUUUUCAAUGGUCGAUGUAUGCCAUUUGCAAGUUUAAUGGUGUAAAAGUAUUCAAAUCAAAUGAAAUUUUGAUAGAAAAGUUUUUAUACUAUCUACAACAAGAGGCGAAAAUUUUAGUGCCACAUCAUAACUUUUUGUGAGAUUUUUAUUUUCAGCUGUUGAUUUUGAACCCUUUCAAUUGUUAAGUAAAUGAUAUCGAAAAAUUACAAAAUUUAUUUUUUAGAUACUUCAAAUACGCUAGAUUAAGUCUAACAGAGCCGAUCGUCGAUUCGAAAGCUCCAUCAUAAAAAACAACUUAGGAGCACGAAAACCGCCGUGCUCUAAUAGUACACAAAACCUACUCUAUAUAUAUAUAUAUAGAGUGAGGUUACUAUGCUUCUGGAAGUACGGAGCCUUCCGUGCUUCCAGGUUGUUUUCGAUGUUGCGACUUUCGAAUCGUCAAUCUGCUCCGUUAAACUUGAUCUAAAGUAUUUAAAAUAUCUAGAAAAUAAAUUAUGCGAUUUUUUGAUAUUAUUUGCCUAGUGAACGAAGGAGCUCAAAAUCAACAAUUGAAAAUAAAAAUCUUACAAAACGUGUUAAUAUGACAUAAAAUUUUAAAUCAAAAAUAUUGAUCUUAUUUUAUAUAAUAUAAAAAAUUUUCUAUCAAAAUUUCACGUGAUUUGAAUAUUUCUACGCCGUUAAACUUGCAAACGGCACACUACGGCCAUUAAAAUUAUUAAUUUUAAGCCCUUUCGAUCACUAGGCAAAUGAUAUCGAAAAAUCAUAAAAUUUAUUUUCUAGGUACUUCAAAUACUGUAGAUCAAGUUUAACGGAACCGAUCAAUAAUUCGAAAGUCGCAACAUGAAAAACGACAUGAAAGCAUGAAAGACUCCGUGCUUCCAGAAGCACUAUAUAUAUAUAUAUAUAUAUAAUACUACUAUACUAUACUACCAUAUAGAAUAGGCUACUAUGCUAUUAAUAGCAUAAAGUUGUUUGGUGCUACCAAGUUUUUGGCCAUUGGAUUAAGAGAUGUGCGUUAGGAUGAUGUGUGCCCUUUAGGGUUGAGUGGGGUUGGUUGAAUAGUAUGAUCUAACGAUGAAAAUGAUCAAAAGAGUAGAUCUACCGGCGAAAAACUUGAUAGCACCAAAUGCUUCGUGCUAUUAAUAGCAUAGUAGCCGGACUAUAUAUAUAUAUUGUUUUUAAUGUUACCUCUUUUUCUUAUCAUUUUCUUUUCGUUGUUCUGAUGUAUGUAGCUUUUAAUUGAAGAGAGAAACUAAAAUACGUAAAGUACCGGCAAAAGCACUAUAAAAGCUUAGGAAGUGUUUAUACAUUAAUUUCAACUAUAGUAUAAUCAAUCAAUCUGUGCUUCCUAUAAUACCACUGAAAAUUCGACCGUGAUUAAAAUCUAACUAAGUUUGUGAUAAAGAUAAAAUCGAACUUACAAAUAAACGUAAAUAUCCAAAUAAAAAUUUAAUCUAUCGAGAAAUAUGCGAGACACUACUCUAAGGCAUAUUCUCGUCCUUACAUGCGGAAUUAACGGGAAACGACACUUCAAGAGAUGACCGGAAUUACUCCUUCUGUGAGCACAAUCACGAAAAAAGUUAAUGGAGAUUCUUUCAAUACUCAAUAGAUAAGGAGAAUAUUCAAAUAAUAAAAGAUGAAAGAAUUAAUGGAUAAGAAUUAACAUAUUAUCUAAUAUCUUUCUACCUACUCUGUCUGAACAAAGGAGGAAAGAGGUUAUUUUAAAAAGAAAGAGAAUUUCAUGCUCUUUCUCAUUACGAACGGAAUAGGAUUUCGUUUGGCUUAAGAAACGGACCGGGAGAAUAUUCCGUUGGUUUCUUAUGAUUUUUGUGUUGUUCAAGUUAUUUAUUAUAGCGCUUAUAUUUUUCGAUAGAUAAAAAGCUAAUCCUUGUCUCUUCAUUCUUUUAUUUUUUAUUAUUUGAAUAUUCACCUAUUUCAUUGGGGGUGUUGAAAGAAUGUUCGUCAACUUUUUUCACGAUUAUGUUUGCAGGAGAAGAAAUUUCGAUCGUACCUUGGGAUAUUGUUUCCGGUUAAUCCCGCACAUAACUACGUAGGGACGGAAAUACGUUUUAGAGUAGUGCCUCGCAUGCUUCCGGAUAGCUCAAAUUUUUAUUUGGAUAUUUACGUUUAUUUAUAAAUUCGAUUUUAUCUUUAUAACACAAUUAGUUAAAUUUUAAUCACGAUCGAUUUUUUCUUUGUGGCAUUUUUCCCUAACAAAAAGGCCUGUAUGUAGUGAAAAGAAAAAAGGAUUCUCCGCUUCAUUUCCUUACUGGGUCUUAGAUAGAUUUGGAACAAAUUAUUUUCUUUACUUAUUUUUAAUCCCUCACUUACCGAGCUUAGAGUGUGCUUGGAUCUCUAUAAAACUAGAAAAAAAAAAAAGUAAUUUUCAUUUUCAACUUAUUUGGUUUUGACGUAAAAUAAUAUUUUAUGUAAAAUCUUUUUACGGAUUUGAUGAAAAAUUAAAAGUUUUAUUUUUCUCAAAAUGAUCGGAAAAUGAAAACUUUAUGUCCACAUAUCGUGGCCCAUCGGAGAGUAGCACGCGAUCCACGAGGUGAAGCUGUCCUCAUGUUGCACGGUGUAUACCGAUAGUAUAGUACUAUAAACGUGUUGCAUCCAAGAGGUGAAGUUAUCCUCGUGUUGCACGGUGGAUAGGUGAAGCUAUCCUCGUGUUGCACAGUGGAUGCCGAUAUUAUACUAGUCUCGCAGAGAAAAUUGAAGUUGGUGUUUCACUGCUAAGAUUGGGGAUGUAUUUGUGCUAAGGACUCGAAAAGGCUAGUUUGGGUAUGUGGUGCUUGGGCGCUAUAUUAAAUUUUUGAAGGAUAAAAUUUUGUUUCCAUUCUUAUGUAACGAUCCAGCCCACUAGCAAUAAUAACUCGUUUGUAUGGCGAGUCUCGUUUGAGCCAGAGUCUGAAUGACAGGCUAGCGAGACGAGUCUCACAUCGUCUGGUGUUCUUGUGCUGUGUGUGUGAUUGGACUGACGAGGACAUCAGGACCUUAAUGGGCGGAGUUUGUCACACCUCAAUAAUCCCACAUCGGAUAGGAAUGGAAAUGUGAUUGGGUAUAUAUGAGUGUGUCUGGUGUUCUUGAUCUAUGUAUGUGAUUGGACUGAUGAGGACGUCAGGACCUUAACGGACACUAGUAAUAAUAACUUGGUUUAAGCAUUUUGGGCCACCCCUUUUGUUAGAAAAACUUUAAAAUUUAAAAUUUUAAUUUUAAUUUUAAAAAAUUAUAAUUUGUAAUUUCAUAAUUAAAGUUUAUAAUUUUAAAUUUUAAUUUGAUAUUUUAUAUUUUUCAAAUAUAAAUUUUGAUAUUUAUAUUUUAAAAUUUAAAUUUGAUCUUAAAUUUUAAAUUUUAAAUUUAAAUUUCAAAUUUCAAAUUUUGAAAUUUAAUAGUAGUGUUUAAUUUCAUAUUUAAAAAUUUAAAAGUAAAAAUUUUAAAUUUAAAAAUAAAAAUAAAAAUUUUAAAAUUCAAAUUCAAAUAUAACGAGUGAGCUAAUAUCAUUUUUGUAUUUAUAACUACUCAGUAUCCUUCUUAUUUCAUCUUAUCUAACUAAAUGCUAUUUUUUGUAUUUUCAAGAAUAAUCCAAUUUUUAUCUACUUAUACCUCAAUUUAUAUUUAUUCUUAGAAUAGCCACUUUUUGUUUAUCCUCGAAUCUCGUGUUGCACGGUGGAUAACAAUGUUAUACUAUAUAAUAUUUAUACUAUAUAAUAUUUUAUUUAUAUUGAUUAAUCAUAUGAUAUUAAAUAUAACUAAUAUAUAUUAUAUUACAUAAUUAUCGUACAAUAUAAUUUUAAAUAUAUUUAAUAUAUAAAUAUAAAUUACAAUAAUAAUAGGGUGAAUUAUAUAAAUUACAAUAAUAAUAGUGAUAAUUUUUUUUUUGAGAGUUAGGUAGGCAUGAACAACAACUAUGCAAUCAAUUUCCUAGUAGGUACCACAACUAGUUAACAUCACUUGGCUCUCUCAAGUCACAUACAUUAACAUACAAAGCAAUACUUUCUUCUCAUGUCGACGGCUCCAAGGGCUACAACAAGUGAUCACAAUGUAACACUCUUCGAGCUAAUAUUCAGAAGAGUUAUAAUGUAUUCGAAGUUGAGACCACCUGUCGAUGGAAACAUCCCCACCGACUAUACAAGCAACCAGGGACAAGAAUCAUACUUGCUCAUCGCUCAGAAAACAAACAAACAUUGUGUUCACUGAAUUAUCAACAGGGAAUUCCGAUAGCGAAUGAACAGCUGAGGGCUUCUUUAGCUUUGUAAGAAUAGCAAGUUGGCAAAGUUAUUUUUCCAACUAGCAAGAGCCAGUAUAUGCCUCAUCUCGAGAAGUCUUCACUAAGUUGGACAUUUCCAGAACCAUCUACUUGUUUGGAGGGAGGACAUCUCCAUGAUAAACCCUCCAGGGGCCCCAAUAGAACUUUGGCCUCAUGAUAGGCACUGCUUCACCUGGAUGUUCUUCCCAGUACUUCUCCUGCUCAACAAUGGAACAAAAUGGUUAGGGCCCUUAAAAUAACACACAAUUUCUUUUUCUUCUUCUUCCUGUUUAUCAUUUGUAUUAUAUUUCUAUCUAAUCGGUGGUUGGUCAAUUAAAGGUGAACAAGAUUAAGUUCAUAACUCUUAGACACAAACCAGCUGGAUGCAUAUAGAGGCUCAGUUGUGAAGAGGGAUUGAAAAUAAUUGGAAAGAAGAUAUGUCAUUCCACCCUUCUUAUCUUCUAAAUUCAUUCUUGUUGUAAUACAGAUGAAACUGAAGAUAACUGGUCGGAAUUGAACCACUAUGAUUCCUUAGCAUGACGCCUAGGUCUGAAUUUAUUAAUUUGGCAUGUGGAUUUACAUUAGAUUAGUAGCUUUAAAUAACUAAAGAAGGAUUUGAGCAGGUCAAGUUCUUAUUUUUCAUGUAAAACAGAACAGAGGAUUCCAAGAGAUGCUGGUCUUGUGAUUAUAUAAACUUGCAUUGAUCAAGUGAUAUAAGAUAAUAUCUUCAUCCUAUGCCCACUGAACAAAGAGAAAGAAGCCAUACUUGUAUUUUUGUCAGGUCAUAACAGUUUUCCGUGUUUUUAGAACAAAAAGUUUGAAUACUUAUUAUCUUAAAUGAGAUUACUAUUUCAUUGCAUUGUGAUAAAAAAAAACAACAGUUUCAACAAUUCUUCUAUCCAGUAGUAAGUCAUCUAGGAUAGCACAAAUCCUAUAAUGAAAUAUUGCAAAGCAUAAAAAGUGAUAGAAUUUCACAAACAGUAAGAGUGCAAUUAAAAAGAAGAAAGAUUAAAUAAAUUUGAGAGCAAGUUUUGAGCAGGUAGUGCAGUUUCUAGCAAGUAAUGAGGACAACGGCAUAGGGAAUAAAGCCAAAUAAACAUUUGUAUGGUAUUAAAUGAUAAAAUUUUUCAGAUAUUACUUACAUCAACAUAAACAUCAAUGAAUUGUUCAUUACGACAUAAACUAUCCAUUAUCUUUUCCAACUAUAACAAAGGGAUAUAAAACAUCUAAUGGAAUUUAUUCCUCUCAUUCAAAAGAAGUUGAUAGCUUACUUUACAGAGACAAAAAAAAUUGCAAUAGCAGGGAGAGAACUCACAACCUUAAAUUCUACUAACAAAAACCUAACCCCUACCCAAAAAUUCCUCCUCUUAAAUUCCUUAAAUCCCUCUUCUACUUAUAUCCUUAAAUUCCUCCUUUUAACAUAAAACUAACCCGUAUCCAAAUAUAAAAUGCGCGCGCGCAUGAGAGAAAACUAAUUGUGAAAGUGCCCGCAGUAAAUUCUCCAUGAAAUAGUGAGCAACCAGCCACAGUAAGAUCAUUCAUUUUUACUAGCUGGUAAUUUUCGAAUUCUCCCAAUUUCUUUUAUACCUAAAAAUGUAUGGAGACCCCUCAACAAUAGGUGUUUCUAAAAUUGCUCCCUCAACUUCUAAUUUGAAAGGUAAGCUUAUAUUGAUGUGAGCGAUAACUUUAUUUAGAGUCCGUCUCCCGUACUUUCGAAAGUACGGGAGGCCCCGUGCUUGUAAGUUGUUUUCGAUGAUAGGACGUUCAAUUCAACGAUCGGCUCCGUUAGGCAUAAUCUACCCUAUUGGAACUAUCUAGAAACUAAAUUUUAGAUUUUUUUGACAUCAUUUACUAAGCGAUCAAAAGGCCUAAAAAAUGACUAUUUUAACGGUCGAUGUGGCACAUUUUUAAGUUCAACGGUGUAGAAAUAUCCAAAUUACAUGAAAAUUUAAUAGAAAAUUCUACUUAACAUCAGUAGCAAGAUCAAUACUUCCGAUUUAAAAUUUGAAUCCUUUAUCACUGUUUUUUAUGAGAUUUUCAUUUUCAGCCGUUCAUUUUGAGGCUACUCGUUCACUAGACAAACGAAAUCAAAAAAUUAUGAAAUUUGGUUUCUAGAUAGUUCCAAUAGCGUAGAUCAAGUUUAACGGAACCGAUCGCCGAAUCGAAUGUCCCAUCAUCGAAAACAACUUACAAGCACGGAGCCUCCCGUACUUUCGAAAGCAUAGGAGCCUAGCUCCUUUAUUUAUUUAUUUAUUUAAUAAUUUUGACACCCUUCAACAUGGAAAAUUUUCAUUUGAGAUUUAAUAGUGAAAAAUUUUGACUAAAUUUCAUGGCUCAAUUAGCAAUUCGCAUCAAAUUAAACUAGUUUUAUUCACUAUAAAGUAGUUUAAACUAAUAAAAUUGAUGGAAUUAUCAAUCAAUUUGGUACGACCCUGAAUUUAUUCGGCUAAGAUCACUCAGUCAUUCCACAAAAUGAAAAGCUGAGGUGGUCUCAAUCAAAAAUUUAUAGCUCCUACUUUAACACCAAAAAUCAAACAAGGGCAACACAUGAGAUCAUAAUCUAACCUUAGUUGCUUAUACGCAACAAAAUUCUACUAAAAGGGAAGGGGGAAAGAGAUCCAAAAGGAGGGGAUCGUACUAAUACCUUGUAGAGUUGCUCGGUAAUGGCGGAUCCGAUGACCCCCGUGUAGAACGCGGCGACGUAGAGGGAAACGAGAGGGGCGAAGGAUUUGGGGCGGCGAUAGGGCUCGACCAUGUCCCAAAGAACCGUUUUUUCCCACCCGUAGAACUUUCGAUCGGCGUACCACCUCCACACCCUACUCGUCAUCGGCGAUUGCUGUUGCUAUUACCUGCGCAGAAUAGAUCACAGAGCUCUAGGGUUUGCGAGGGGGACGUGAAUUGAGGACGAUCCGUGAACAGAGAUUGGAGAUUUCGCCGUGCUCGAGAUACCGAUGCCGUGGAGAUCGGGGAUUAGGGUUGCGAGCGAGAGAGAGAGAGAGAGAGAGAGAGAGAGAGAGGGGCUCGGAUUUAGGUCCGAUACCCAGGAUUUAAGUGCCCUGGCGCGGACUUUGCCCGAAACUUAUUGGCACGGUACGGUACGACACGUGCAGAUCCGCACUUAUGCGAGUCGAUCAAACAAAUUGUUAUGUGUCAAUACAUAAUAGUAUAAAAUAUUUACUUUUUUUUAGCAACAAAAUAAUUUAAUUAUUUAUUAUACUUUUUUAUUAUAUUAUUUGAACUUUAUUGAGAAAAUUACUUACUAAUUUAAAGAAUAAAGAAUUUUGAGCUGUGCCAUCGGCACGAAAUCUGUAUCGUGUGAGUAUCUUGGUGGCAUGGUGAAUACGGCUCAUGCUGAUGGGCAUUUAAAACCUUACUGAUACAAACCAAGAAUUUUAAUGAUAAUUUCUACUAUUGUAUUCACCAUACCAUAUCGUGUUAACAAUAUAUCAGUACAAUACAAUUUCGUUCUGAUGAUAUAGCUCAAAAUUUUAUAUUUUUCAAUUAAUAAGUAAUUUUUUAAUAAAAUUUAAAAAUUUUGAUAAAGAUAUAUAAUAAAAAAUUAGAAUAGCUUGUUGUUACAAAAAAUAAAUAUUUCAUAUUAUUAUUUGUCGGUAUGCAUGUAUUUUUUAUGACCGGUAUGUAUCAGUACGUUCCGACACGUACCGCACCGUACCGUAGCAGUAAGUUUCCGACUGCACUUAAAUCCUUAAUACAACCUACAACAAAGAGAGUGGAAAUGCAGAGAGAGAGAUUUUUUUCGAAUGUAAAAACUUCAACAGUUGAACAAAUUGCGUGUAAGUUGGAUAAAACUUAAUGGGGAGAGCUCCUCAACAAGACGAUUUGUGGUUAAAUAUAAAUUUUGCUUUUAUUGAAUAAUUAUUUAGAUAUUUUUUAAUAUUAAAAUAACAAAUUUAAAAGAAAGAAGUAUAAUUUUUGGAUAAAAAUAAAAAUAAUACGUGGCAAGAAAUGAAAAUGACACGUGACGACAAAUUAGCAAGAGACGAAAUUUUUUCUUACUAGUUGCUGAGCUUUAACUCAAGUUUUACUUUGGUCUUCCAAUUUUCAAAUUCUAUAUUCAUGUUCUAAAAUUUUGAUAAUAUUAAAAAUCAAGUUAGAUAAUAUUUUUGCUAAACUUUAUUUUCGUCUACAAAUUCCGAAUAAUAUUUACGGUUGAAAAUAACCUCACCAUUUUCUAUUUCCAUCCUCUAGUUUCGGCAAAACAAGCAUCACCUUAAUAGCACUUCACAGCCAACAACAACAGCUGCUUGAAUUAAAUGUACAAAAGUUGUAUCUUUUUCAUUCUUUUCAAAUUAGAAAAUUACAGUAAAAGGAAAAGGAAAUAGAGCAGCUACAUAAAGAGAUGUCUCACAAAGGUAAUGAGGGAUACAUCUACUUCCCAUUGAUAAGAGAAACCAAAAAAACAACAACACUAUGUGCAUGUUCUAUGUCAGCGAAACGAAUUUUGAAUUUCCAGUUAACAAGGAAGAAAAAAAUUUGCUCUAAGCUCCCUGUGAGUUCAAAAAAAUUUCGCAAUAUCUGCUUCCCCUGUUACAGCCCACCCCAGUUCAUGAACUUCUUCACCUCAUCAUACAAAACCAAUAUGGCCGCGGCUCCCGUGCUCCGAAACAUAUUCGACAGCGCCCCACGGUAAAACGAACCCAACCCCUCGAGCCUAUAUAUCUUUCUCCAACAAUCCAAUGUCGAGUCAUACACCGGCUUUUCCAUCCCCGACUGCAUCAUCAUCCUCCUCCGCACGGUAUCCAACGGGUACGAAAUUAAGCCCGCCGUUGUAGUAACCGCCUGCGCCGCGACCCACCUCUUCCACAGUGGGGACUCGUUCGUUAUUAAGCAAUCCUUCACGGUGUCGAAGCCCCCAAAGUAUAGGCCGCGGUGGAUGACCAUGCCGUGGAGGGAGGCGGGGAGGCCACGGUAGAUGCCGCGGAUUCCGUUUUUCUGGUAGAUUGUGUGAAGGAAGUGGCAGAUGCCGCGGAACUGGCGGGAGUCGGUGUGGCCCACGUCAGCAGCGAGGCGGGUGUGCGCGAUGUCGAGAGGGUAGAUGAUGACUAGGGUCGUGCAGCCGGCCGCAGCCCCAGCGAUGAAGUUGGUGGUCGCGAUGGACGUGAAUAAUUGGUUGUUGGCCGAUGUUUCUUCACCUUUUAACAUGGACCUGUAUAGAUCCUGGUAGAAAUAAUUCAUGAAUAAAUUAAUAAACUUGACGACACAAGUUAAGAAAUGGAAUUGCAUGAAAUUUACAAGACGAAAUUUCAGAUGAGAAUUUUAGCAGAAAGUCAGAAACAAAUUGCGCUCUCGGUGUGCGUUCCGGAUUUGAUCAAAGGCCAAUUAGUUGUGGAAUUGUACCAAAGAGUAAGUGAGAGAAUUUGAUGUUAACAAUAUUAUCAGGCAACAAUCUUACAAUGACACCAACCGUCCCUAGAGCAAGUGGCAAAGGGCUUGGUGGUUGGUACCCGAGACCCAAGUUCGAAUACUCGUUGAUUCACAUUUCCAGCUAAGUUUAUUUCUAAAUGAAAUAAACGAAGCGGGUAGCGUGCUACCUAUCUCUCAAAAAAAAAAAAAAAAAAAUAUUACAAUGACAGGUAAUUUGAAGGAGAAUAAGCACAUUUACCCGUCGAAAUUCUUUUCCCUGCACUAGCAGGAUACAUACACCACAUCCAACAUAGAUAAUCAGACAUAUGGUAGCACAAUUUGUUAAAAAUUCCACUUUUUCCCCAUAAGAGCUCUCAUGAAUUAGGGCAAAUAACAGGAGACAUUCUUUUCUCGUGAUUUGUGCCACUUUGAUAUUUCUUCAGGUAAGUUUUUGAGUUUCAAACCAAAACUAUGGCCAUAGAUGAUGGAAUUCCCAGACAGAGAAAACAAUGCAAAUCUAUAAUAUCAAUGAAAAGGAAUUGCAUGGCAAAUAAUCAAAGGCCGAUGAUUGCAUGGAUACAACAGGUGGACUGGUAGAGAUUUAAAGAGUAAAAUCAUGACGGCUCUGCCAGUUUGAAAUGAUAUGCUGUUAACUUCUCUGUUAUACACCGUUUAAAAAUUUGUCUCAUCAGUAAAACCUACCAAUGGUACAUACACCAUCCCAGGUCCUAGCAAAGCAGCAAACCCCAACCAAACUCCUACAAAUAGCAUGAAGUCUUAUGGUUGCCUUACAUGAAAUUAUGUAGCUGCACCCAACUAAAGAGGCAUCUUUGUCACCUGAUUUUACCCAAUAAACUUAUAUGAUGAGACCAAAAAGCUGUACGUUUUGAUAAUUACACCAUCUAAAGAUUUCUGACUCCAAUUACUAGCUAAUUUUAUAACUUUCUAUAUUCCCUACAAGUCAUGCACCACAGAACUGAGACUCGAAUUCUUCCAGAAAAGCGGAAAGUAUGCCUCAUAGAAGUGUUUUACAAAGAAAAGUAAAAAAACAAAGAAUCAAAGCUGAUCCAGCCAAAAAAAUGGAAAGGUUAAAACCGCCUGGCGUUCAUCUAUAUUAUUCUCCUAGCAAGGACGAGUACAUAGUAGGUUCUUCUAACAGCGAAAAAAGGAUAAAUGGAGCAUUCAAGGAUUCACUUUACUGUCUAGAUUUCCAUUUGAAACAUAUUCUUCUUUCAGUAAAGAUACAAUGUGUCACUAUACAUUGACCGGCAAAUGCUAAAAAAUUAACUAAAAUUGGAAUUGACAUCACAUCCAAAGUAAAAUCAAAGCAGUUUAUUUCAAUCUUUAUAUUUAAACACCUUUAUACCCCUUCCAAAGAUUUCUUUUUUUUUUUUCCAAAUAUGCAUUGAAAGCCCAUUCCCUAAUCCCUAAAAGAGAAAUAUGCAUUGAUAGCCCAUUCGUCAAUUUUUCAUUUAAAUAGAUGCUUUAUUUAAAAAAAAAAAAAAACUCCUUCAGCAAUCAACACCCAUUUCAAACACACACAUUUAAAACUCCAAAGACCAUUAUAUGUACUUUUCAGUUCUAUCAAUACCAUCCCAACUGAUAUCUGGCCAUCAUUGGUUACUUAUAACAGCCCAUGUCUGUGGUCAUAGGUAAUGCCCCUAGUUAUCAAUAACCCUCCGCCUACCCAGUUGACUUUGUCCAAUGUGACCCCAAAGACACAAUAUUACAUUCCAUUGCUGAAUAAUAUCAACUCUUGUCCCUUGCUCAAUACGAAAAUGAAUAAUUCAAACCUUGUACCUUUUUCAAUACUCAACUUCGUGAUAUAUCUCAAAGGUCACAAGGAGAAUUAUUUACUGUUGGUGCACUUUGAAUUUUCCAAAAUUCAGACACAACCAAGAUUAAAACGAUAAUGGCAAUGACCUACAGAAUAUAACAACCCAUAUAAGUGAAGACACUACUUCCCAGGGGUAAGUGUUGUAAAUUCUUGCCUAAAGUACUAUAUUGUUUGAAAUCAAGCACACAAUAUAUGACCAAUGUCAAACUUUACCACAAUUGGUCUUUAGAGAAUAAGAGCUCUUGACCAUACCUAACAAAUUAACAAGUAGGAUAGUAACGUUCCACCCAUACUUAAUACAUACUAAAAACCCUUAAAUCCAGUCUAAGGUUGGGGGGAUUCUCAAGCCCGUUAUUGCCUUGCCGCCCACUAAGACCAGUUGACAACUUGACAUAUAUAAUAGAAUGUAGUUUAGUUGAGUGUUCCACCCUUUAUGAGCGUAUCUAAGGCCAAUCGUCCCGUCUCUUCUAACCAGAAUAAAAAAUGCCGAUAUGAAACGGGUUGCUAUUUUAACACACUCAAUGCCGAUAUGAAAGGUUGUUUCCGAAAAUGUUACAUGUUUAACAUAUUGAAUUAAAAGUUGAAAAAAAAAAAUGGGUAUCAAAAAUUCACAUUAAGGCGACAUAUAAUUGAAUUCAAAGAAUUCUUAUGGUAAAAAUUCAAAUAUUGAAAUAAACAUGUAAAAUUUCAAAAAUAAAGCAAACAUGUAAAUCUGAAAAAUUCGGAAAAGAAAAUGCGUAGGGAUAGAACAAAUAAGAGCACGUAGAGAGAAAUGCUUGAUUUGAAGGUUUCCUAAAACUGAUACUAACCAGCAAACAUUGAUUUCAAGUCUUCAAGCAUACACAGGACUGAAAAUAACGAAGUAGAUUAUAAAUACAUAUUUAAUUAAAAUUCUAUAUCACAAAAAACAUGACCACUUGGCCAACAUUCCACAAUGCCAUCAAUGACAAGCUUCUAAAACAAGGUCUGAGAUAACCAUUGUACAUACUUGGACUGGCGAAAAUUACAAAUAAUGCCAUGCCUUCAGGACCGUAAAUACACUUUUUGAUGCUGACAACUCACGCUACCAUAUAAUCCGUAAAGUCAUAAUGGAAGUUCGAUAUGCUAAAAGCUCAGUACCUACAAUGUGUAAGGACAUAAUAAUUGACAAUUGAAGACGAACAAAAUAUUUCACAAGCAACGUGCCAUAGGACACACAAAACAGAUUGGUGAGACUGAUAUACGACAAGGCCAUCAGUCAAACACGGGACUGCUAGUAGCCUUGCAUUUGUUUCAGGCUCAUCCUUUGUAAUCAUUUGUCUGCUUAGCGUUAAAAGGACCCUUCUUCACGACCAUUAGCAAGGACACGUGUAAGGAUAUGCCUUUACUUUCAAAGAUACUUUAAAGUGAUCAACACACACAACUUCCAGUAUGAUCCUGUCUCCUAUAACGACAUGCUUGUUUUAUGAAGAAUAUCAUUGUUUCUAUGACCUCGUUAGCUAUUAAAUGAAGGGUAAAUCUCUCGCAGAAAGUUAACGUGCCAAGAAGCACUUCUUCCCUCUAAGCCAGUUUAAAUGAUGGAAUAGUUGGGCCGCACACAUAUUCCUAAAAUAAAGUGGCAUACUAAAAAUCAACCUGUCCUCAAUCAAUCACACAGGUAAUGGGAUCCUUCAUCAUUCAGGCUUCAUAUAAUGGUUAAUCAAUACCAAUCAUCAACAUGCGCCAUCUGAAAUUAACAGCAUUCACUAAUUCAAGCCAAAAUGUAUUUUUACAUCAUUUGCCCACUAUCUCUACGUAGUCUUCUUCUCACAUUAUCAACAUGCAAUUUCUACAACUUCAAAUCUAAUUCAUUGCAUAAAUUAGCUAACUUAUGAACCACUACGAGUCUACAUAUAGAGCCGAUUGCCCCUCGAUAAUUCAUUGCGUCCUAGAACCAAAAUCUCAAAAUGGAUUUAUCCUCUAUAGGGUUCAGCUUACUUUCGCUGAUAGUAUACUAGAACCUUGAAAACCUAGGACAAUAACAAGUAGAUUCACAUGCAUUAUCAAACCAUCCAGGGCAUAAAUUAAGCUACUAAACGUCAUAACUACUAUCACUAAUUAGUUCCCCAAUCUCAAUUCUCAAACAGAGGCAUUCAUAGCACAAUUUCUCCUCCUCUUUGGCCCUGUAAAAUUAAAUAGAGAUAUAAAUGGAAACAAAUGAUACGCUGUGGAAUCAAAAGAACAGGAAUCCGAUCGUCCGAUCAGAAACCCCGCGAUCGAUCUCCGCAGCGAGGAGGGCGUCAAAGAAGAGGGUUCGACUGCUAGGGUUAGGGUUAGGGUGAGGGUGAGGGCGAGGGUGAGAGAGAGGGAGAGGUGUGCACCUUGAGGGAGAAGUUGAGGGCGACGGAGGGGUAGUAUCGGAGGACGCCGGUGCCGUUGCCGCGCCAGAGGGAGAGGGCGCCCUCGUCGCGCACGGUGCGGGCGACGCAGUCGACGAAGCCGCGGAAGCGGCGGCGGCGCCCGAGGAGCGCGGCGUUCCCGUCCUGCGUCUGGAGCAGCAGCUUCACCCGCUCGAUCGGCGCCACCACCGUGUGCACCGCGCCCCCCACCACAUCCCUCUCGACUCCCUCACCCUCCCUUCCCCAUCCUCUCCCCCUCCUCCUCCUCUCCUCCUCUCCUCCUCGCCCGCCACCAACGACUUCGAUCGUCGCCACCUCCGCCGCCUCCGCCGCGUCGUCGAUCGCUUCUUCUUCUUCUUCUUCUUCGUCGUCGGCGUCUUCGAUUCGCCUACGCCGCGACCUCCUCAUUCGCUUCCUCUUCCUCUUCUAAUGCUUCUCCUCCUCCCUUACUCCUCCUUUAUUCUUCUCUAUUAAAUUAAGAAUAGAAGGUAAGGUAAGGUAAGGUAAGAACGUGUACAAGUUAAGCUCUUACACCAUUUUGAUUUUGAUUUUGAUUUACGGGGGGUUUGGUUUCAAGUAAAAUUAUAAAAAAUAAUUUGUUUGAAAAAAAAAUUUAUAUUUUGUAGUAUUUAUUUUGUAAGGAAAAAAUAAUUUUUUAUCGAUAUUUAUUUAGUUAAAAAAAAAUUACAUUUGUUUGGCUUGGUUUAAAAAAUAAAGGAAAAAAUAUUUUAUGCAGCGUGAAUUUUUGUUUUCUACAUAAAUUUGGCAAAAAAACAAAAACACUUUGUUUUCCUCAAAUUUAGAAAGCCGAAAAGUAAUUUUCAGUAUAUUUUACGGCCAACCAAACACACCCUUAGCUAUCCAAUUUUUCAAAAUUUUAAUUUUAUUAUCUAACUUCUCAAAUUUAAAGUUAACUACUUAUUUUAAAAAAUUUUUGUUUAUAAAAAUUAGAUAAAAUAUACUAACCGAACCUGUAAAAAUAAACGUUGCAUUCAAAUUUUAAAGUCAAAGUGUUUCUGAUCGACUGAAAUUUAAAAGUUUGAAAGGUCAAAUAGUAAAAUCAAAAUUUUAGUAAAAGGUUGGAUAGCUAUAUUGGCUCAUAAUAUAAAUAAUAAUAACUUCUAUAUGUUUUUAAUUAAAUAAAACUACUAUUGUUUAAUAUAAUUAAUAUUUUUUAAGUAAAACUUUUAUAAAUAUUGCUUAUCUAAACUUUGGUCCAUUUUCAUUUAAAUAUCCAAUUUUCUAAUUUUCAAUUAUUAAAUCCAACAUUUCUAUUAAGAAUUCUUGUAGAAAAUUUAAAUCCAUUACUACAAUAGGAAGUAUAAUUACAUAAACUGCAUGAAUAUACUAAUUAAAUUUUAAAAAAACAAAUAAUAUAUUUAACUUUUAAAUUAUUAAAAUUAUUAGAGUAAUUUAAACUAAUAUACUAAAAAGUUAAAGAGGAUAAUUAAAUAUUUAUCCCAAAAAAAUUAAAAUUUUAAAAAAUUAUAUUAUAUAAUUUAAUCAAAGUACACCCAAAAAAUGGGUGUAGAUUUUUACAUCUCUUCAUCCAAUAGUCAUUAUUUCUAAUGAUAAAAUUUAAGAGAAUUAUUUAAAUUUGAGAAUUAUAAGAUGUCCACCAAUUUUUUGGAUUUGUGUAUAGCAUUUAAGCUUAUGAAAUUUUGCCUAUUUUUCUACUUUGAAUUUGAAUUUGUAUAUGUAUAAAAAGAUGAAGAGAAGUACGGCUCUGAAAAAAAUAAAAAUGUAUAAAACUUAUCUGAAUUAUCUAAUUUUAGUAUCAAAUAUUUUAAUUUGUUUGAUUUAAUUAAUUUGAUGGUUUUUCGGAUAUAUAUUUUAAGCUAAUUACUUAUUAUAAUGAAUUUAUAGCUAAGUGAAUUGUAUAAAAUAUAUUAACUAAACUAAUAAUUUAAAAUUCAAAUUAUAAAGUUAAGGGCCACUAAUUGAAGCAAAUCAAAUAAAUUAGAAGAUUAAAUAGUAAAAUAAAAAAUUAUAAAAAUUAGACAGUAAAAUCAAAAUAGGUAAUACUCGAAGUUUUAUAUAUUUUUAUCAAAAUUAUUUAUAAUGGGCACGCAAACGUAUAUACUAUGAGAGGUUGAGAUACACACGUAACGUCUUCAGUGUAACGUUUUCAACAAAUUAUAUCUACAUUUAUAUUUUUUUGGAACAUGAAUUUUGAUCAGAAUAUGUAUCUGAUGUUAAAUUAUGUUUACCAUAUCCAUUUAAAAUAAAUUCAGAUUCAAAUAUAAAUUAAAUUUGUAUUCGAAUAUUAUUCAGAUAAUAAUAUAUACUAAUAUGUAGAGUUGAGCUCGAAUGCUAUUAAUAGCAAACGAGCUCCUGCCAUCUAUUUGUUUUCGAUGAUGGAGUUUCAAAAUCAACAAUCGACAUCGUUAAAUAUGAUCUAUACCACUUGAAGUAUUUAAAAAUCAAAUUCAUACUUUUUCAAUAUUAUUCUCUUGUUCAUCAAGUGGAUACAAAAAUAAACGGCUGAAAAAAAAUAAUCUAAAAUUAGUACGAAAACAAACAAUGCAAUUAAAGAUUCACAAUCGUGUUCAAACUUUAUAUAUCUAUAUUUUAUUCAAUAAAAUUUAAUAUUUUUACUAAAUAUACAUGUAAUUUUAAUGUGCAACUCGCCAUAAAAGGCCUGAAAAAUAAUUUAUCUUCCUAUAAUAUAUAUUUACGUAUCUCUUAUCUCUUAGGCGUGGAAACGGUCAAAUACGGUCAGUUUUUCAAAAAAAUCAUAUUCGCAUUCUUCUUUUUUUUUGAAGCGAAUUCGAAUAUAAAUAUGUAUCAAAUAUUAAAUUUUAAUUUGCAUCCUAUCGAAUCCGGUAUCAGAGUGUAUCCUAACCAUUUUGAACCCUAGCCUACGAGCCAGUGUCGUAGCUCACAUAACUCAAACUUUCGGUAAAGUUUACCACCAUAUUUGUUCCCGUCAUGGUUAGGAGUGUCAAUAGUACGGAUAAUCUUUAUCCGGAUCCAAAUCCGAAUCCGAAUUCGAAUGACCGUAUUUAACUAAUGCUAAAUAAGUAUGAUUUUGAUUACAUGUAUAAAAAAAUAGAAAUUCAACUUAUUUGGAUUCGGAUAUGAUUUUUUUCAAUAUCCAAUCCGAACUCGAACCCAUAUUUGGAGCCGAACCGAAUCCGAACUAGUUUUACAUAGCAUAUUAUAUAAAAAUUUAAAUUUGUAUUUUGAAAAUUUAGAUUUGAAUAACACAUUUUAAAAUUUGGUAAAGAGAAAUGAUUUCAGAUUCCCCGAAUCUUGAGUUUUUUGGCAGUUUCGAUACUGGUUAUGGAUUUUCAAAAUCCGACCGAUUCAGAUUUGAAUUCGGAUUUCAAUUUCAAGAGUUAGGUUGAGAUUUGGAUUUCUGAAAAUAUGCUCUGAAUAUCAUCCGUUAUCCCUUGACAUGGUUAACAUAUUUUUACUUUACCAUCAUACAGUUUAAAAAUAAUUUAUUUUAAUUAGUUGGUAAUUUUAUUUUUAUUUUGUUGUAAAACUUUAUAGUUAAAUAUGGUAAAGUAUAGUUAUUUAUUAUUAUUAUUAUAACUUAUACUUUAUUGCAAAUUGAAGAAAUGUGGUAAGGUUUUUUCUUUUUUUUUUUCUUUUUUUUUUUAUAUUGAACCUGGAGAAAAUUUCUGCAAGCUCCUCCUUUUCACUCUUGGCCUGGAUGACAUUUUGAUUUUUAAAUUUUUUAUUAAAAUUUUAAGUUUAAAUUUUAAAAAAAUUGUUAUAGUUAACUUCUAUAGUCUAAAUUAGUUGACUAAAUAUUAAUAUAUUACUAAUAUAGAAGUGAUGUAACAAUAUUGUGAUUAAUAAUGUGUCAAUAAUUAAGAUUCUAUAUUAUUUUUACAUCAGUAAUGCAUUGAUAUUUAAUUUGAAUUGUCGGACUUGAUUGCAGCAGUGAAUAGUUUUUUAAAUUUUAACAUUUAAUAUAUGUGGCGGUAAGAUUACUACCAACAUAGAAAAAAAAAAAAAUUUCUAUUUAAAGAGUGAUUAGGGAGAUAAAUUUAUUUUUAAUUUAAAAUUAUUCUCCUCGAGUGCUAGCUAUUAGAUACUGCAGCAAAUUUAAAUAUAGUUGCAAUUACUAUAAUUGAGUCUUCUCAUACAGUUUAAAUUUUAACAAUCGAUUUCAAAAAUAUCAAAUUAAAUAUCGAAUUUGAAUCUGUUUAUAAUUACAAUUAUAAUAUAAUUGUAACUACGUGCAACUAAAGUGGCCUUCAAGGCUUCAAUUAUCUUUCCCUAGGCUUGAUCCUUCUAGAAAAUAUCCUAAAAAUAGUGAGAGCAAUAAUAAAAAUAAAUAAUAAUUAUUUUGCAUUUGUGGGCCCCACUGAGCAUCUUUAUAUAAAUUUUAUGGUAUGCGUGGCUCCGCAGCCACAUAUAGAGGUCAAAGAAUUGAUGCCAUGAUUGGAAACAAAAUAAUAAUAAUUAUAAAAAUAAAAAUAAAAUUUAGUGGAGAACUUUUCGAUCCACAUCUCGUUUACGUUGUUUAAUCAGUUAUCACGUGUCAUUUUCUAUCUUUAUUUUAAAUUUAUAAUUUUGUAAAUUAAAAAUAUUUUAAUUUUUAGUUGUUGUUGCGAGCUGAAUUACUUAAUCGUUGGCUUAGUUAAAUAUGUUCUCUUGAAAAACGUUCAAUCAGUAUCUAGAGCGGCUACUGAUAACGACCCUCGAAACUUGCGCCUAUAAGUGAAUCAAGCGAUUCGGCUGAUGAGCCGAGUUCAGAUACCACACUGUAGAUUCAGUUUGGCUGAAGAGCCGAAUGAUAUUUAUAUGUAUUGCCGAAAGAAAAAAAAAUGUUACAGAAAGAUUUACGUCGCUGUGGCGUCUAGUUUUAAAAGAACUACAAAUUUGGAACUACUGCUUAAAAAAGCAAGAAAUGCGGAGAAAAAUAAAAAUUACCAAUAGACUACUUCCAGAAAGCGAAAAAAAUUGCAUUGAGUCGGCAGCCAUAUAGAGGUCAAAGAAUUGAUGCCAUGAUUGGAAACAAAAUAAUAAUAAUAAUUAUAAAAAUAAAAUUCAGUGGAGAACUUUCGAUCAACAUCUUUUAUUUAAUCAGUUGUCACAUGUCAUUUUUUAUCUUUAUUUUAAAUUUAUAAUUUUGUAAAUUAAAAGUAUUUUAAUUUUUAGUAUUUGUUGCGAGCCGAAUUACUUGACCGUUGACUUAGUUAAAUAUGUUCUCUCGAAAAACAUUCAAUGAGUAUCUAAAGCGGCUACUGAUAAUGACCCUCGAAACUUGCACCCACAAGUGAAUCAAGCGAUUCGGCUGAUGAAGAAUCAGACCAGCCGAGUUCAGAUACCAUACUGUAGAUUCAGUUUGGCUGAAGAGCCGAAUGAUAUUUAUAUGUAUUGUCGAAAGAAAAAAAAAAUGUUCACAGAAAGAUUUUCGUCGCUAUAGCGUCUACUCUUAAAAGAAUUACUAAUUUAGAACUACUACUAAAAAAGCAAGAAAUGCGGAGAAAAAUAGAAAUUACCAAUAGACUACUUCCAGAAAGCGAAAAAAAUACGUUUUAAAUAAACUGAUCUUCCUGUUCUCGGAAAAAAAGACCUUUUUGUCGGCCGUCUUCCAUUUAUUUAUACCUCUGCCCGUUAUUUAUUCAGUUAUUUCCCCCUAUCGGCCACAUUCCUAUUUCUGCAAACCACUUUCAUCCGAUCUUAAUUGCAUUGGGCCACAAUCCUAUUUCUGCAAACCACUUUCAUCCUAUCUUAAUUGCAUUGGUUUUAACCGUUCUUUAGUUUUUUAUGCUUCCUUUUCAACUCCUAACGCACCACAUGUUACUUUUUUCUGGUCUCAAAAAUGUGGUGCAUACCGGUUCACCACGUGGCGUAACUUUAGAACGCCAACAGUAUUAAAGAAUAUUUAAAAAUAAUUGAGUAGAAAUAAAACUAACACGUAAGAAGCUCCCCACUAAAAAUUUUAUCCGCUGUACUCGCCAACUUAUUCGACUUCAAAAGCUUGGACUAUUUGGUUCUUCAAACAAGCGUGGAAAAAGAUUUUGUGAAUUAUGAAAAAAAAAGUUUCAGUUUUUCAUUUGUUUAAUUUCAAAGAAAAUUAGUUUUUUUGAAAAGCUUCUUUCCAAAUUUAUAAAAAAAAAAAAACUAGCAUUUUUAUUUCAAAAAAAUCAAAAAUAAAAAUAUUAAUUUGCCAUAAAAUUUGAAAAAUAAUUUUUUUAAAAAAAAGUAAUUUUUUUAAAAUCAAACAAAUGAAAAAUUGAAAAAAAAAAAAUUUCAUAAAAGACUUUUUUUAAAAAAAAAAGAAAUUUCACACUUUUUUAACGAACCAAACAUGGCCCAAAAAAAGCACCAUAAAAUUUUAAUAGUUAAGGGAUUAUUUUAUUUUAUUUUAUUUUAUUUUAUGUAUGUAUAAAAAAUAGGAUAAGAUGAAACUGGUCCACAAGAUGUUAGUUGUGGACAGCUACAUUAUUGAGUAUGCUGGAGAUUGGAAGGUGAAAGAGAUUAAAGCAUGUUUAUUCCUUUGUAUAAAAUAAUUAAUUGUACUUUGAAAAAGUCGCCAAUUGUUAACAUUUGUUUCUGACACCGAAAUUGCGAGGUCAUUCGAUUCCUCGCUUACAAUUGUACGGAUAUAUCUUCCGACUUGGAUUCGGUGGAGGGCGAAGUCGUGCUAUGCCAAAGAGCCCUUAGGCCCUGUUUGUUUCGACGGAAGGGGGUGGAAGUGAGACAAGGAAAGUGAUUUUCGGUAAAAAUUUAUCACUUGCGUCGUUUGAUUCACCGUAAUUUUAUUACUCCCGAAAGUCCAGUUCACCUAAAAUAAUGAACUUGACUUUGCCCUCCCAUGAGGCGAAGUCAAUUACGAUGAAGUGAAAAAAAGACAAGAAUGAAUUAAUGUGUUAGGAUUACCUCUUCUAAAAUAUGAUCAAAUUUGAUUAGAUAAACUUUAAUAUGUUUUUUGUUUAAUUUGUAUAUUUAGAAAAUGAUGAAAAAUAAAUUUGUUAAAUGUUAAUAAUUUUUUAACUUUAGAAUUUUAUUUGUUGCAUUAUUAUAAUUUAUAUGCAAACAAAUAAUAUAAUUUUUUAAAAUUUUAUUUUAUAAUUAUACAUAUAUAUAAUUAUAUACAUAUAUAAUUAUAUUAAUUUUUAUUUAUUAUAAUUUAUUAUUCACUAUAAAUUACAAAUAGACAAUGAUAUCACUUGAAGGUAAAUAUACCGGAGGUGGAGAGCUACACUUUUUACGUCAUUUACUUCCUACCAAACAAACAACAGAACUCGCAGAACUGCACUUUCACCGUUAAAAACAAACAGCAGAAGUGAACUAAUUUUCACCCCAACUCCACUUCAACUCAAAGUCCACUUCUACCCCAAGUCUACUUACGUUGAAACAAACAUACCCUCGGUGGGGGUGGAUACAGGUAACUAGUUGGUCCGCAGAUGACGUGGUACACCUGUUCUUAAUAUCUUGCACGCAAAAGAUAAUUGCUUUGGAGGGAAUUGAUGAGGUGUGAAUUACUAUUAAUUAUUAUGGGAAUAGUUUUUGGGGAUUAAAAAACCUUAGACUCUGUUUAAAUGUAGAAUAAAUUAUUUAUGAGACUCUUUUAGUGUGAUUGUAACUAAAAAAUUUAAUUUCUAUUUUCUUAAAAAAUUUACUAUUUAUAAUUUUAUAGGAUAAUAUAUUUCAAGAUAUGACUUUAAAAACGAAUGUAAUAUUCUAUUCUAAACAAACAUGAUCACAUUCCUUACCCACCAAAUAUAAAAAUUUUGAGUAAAUUUAAAAAAUAUAUACUGAACAAAAUAUUCAUAUAUUUCAACAGUAAUAUAUAUUCGGUACGAAGAUUCGCUUAUACGAUUGAAAAUUAGCAAUUUGAUUUUUGCUCUUUAAAAAACUUUGACAUCUCUAAUAAAGGACUAAAAUAUACCUUGUGCUUUUUGAAUAAAUUAUUAAUUAUAUAAUAUGAUAUACGUAUAUAUAUAUAUAUAUAUAAUUGAGUUAGAAUAACUUGUCACCACUCUUGGUGCUUCUAGAUUUCUAACCCUGGAUGCUACUCAUCAUUAUUAAUAGUCCUUGGAUUAAACACGAUUCCACCUAUCACCAUCAUCUCAAUCUUAAAUUUUCCAUCCAAGGAUUAAAAAUUCAAAAGCACCUACCUUUUGGUACUUUUGAGAGCAUUCUAGCCUCAACUCUAAUAUAAUAUAUAUAUAAUAUAUAUAUACGAAAAAAAUAUUCAUAACAUCAAAAUAAGACCUGACCAGAGGCUUUGUCAUAGGGCCCAGUAAUAGUUAUUCUCACUGCACGUUUGGAUAAAUAAAUCAUAAAACACAUCCUGAGAUUGGAAUUUAAACCGCCAAAUGAACUCCGUAUUGUCGUUUUUUUUUUUUUUUUUUUGAGAGAUAGGUAGCACACACUCGGCCGCGCUACCCACUUCGUUUAUUUCUUUUAAAAAUAAUCUUGGCUAGAAAUAUGAAUCAACUAGGAUUUAAACUUGGAACCUCAUAUUGUUGUUAUAUGACAAUUUUCAUUGAUUCACAUUACUUGGUAUAGAACUUGCAUCUGCAAAGUAUGCAUUCAACCACUAGUUCCUAUUGCAGUUGAUUAAUAUUAGGGACUUUCCCACCUACAUUCAUGCAUUUAAUAUUAAAAAAAAAAAAAGAAGCUAAAGUAUAGAAAAUCUUCUUGCACUUUAGCCUCGAUCUCAAUUACCCCUCCAUAUUAAAAAUUGCAUCAACUAUUUCUACACUUUGUCAUCAUCUCACAGAGAUCCAAAAUUCUAAACAAUUAGACUAAAUAUUCAUUAAAACAAGUUGACAUAUCACAUUGUUCGGCAUCUCAAUAAAUAUCCAAUUUGCAACUCCAAAAAUAUAUAAAAAAUUUUAAAUAAAGAAAUCUCCUAUUUUAUGGAUACUAUCAAAAUUGAUAAUUUAUUGAGCAAUUUAUUAAAUUUUUACAAGUCUACUGCAUUACUUACAGAUAAUUUUUAUCUGCAAAUUUAUUUUUACAAAAUUUUAUAGCUGAACCAAAUAGCUAAAUCCGUUUGAGAUAAUGGCAAAAUGUAAGAAAAUAGUCGAUGCAAUAUUUUAUGGAAGGGUAAUUGAGACAAGCACUAAAAGUGCAAGAGGCUUUUUAUAAUUUAGCCUAAAGAAAAAGGGGGCAAUUUUAAUGCUUAGUAGUUAUCAUUAUCAUUAUUAUACACAUGAAGUUGCAAACCUUAAUCCCAAAAACUUCCAAUUGCUAACACUGUUUAACACCUGGAGGUUGUAACAAAGCUCAUAAAAGCUAAUAAUAAUGCGCAUUAAAUGGCGAAACAGGUUUCUAGAGCGACAUCAAUAAGGACGGUACCUGCGACCGCGAUUACCAUCACCACUACCACCACCGCCACUGCCACUGCCACCUCCUUUUCGGCCCCCGCUGGAGCUGCCACCUCGAUUGCUGCUGCCUUGAUGCGCGGGUCCCAUUGGAGCCCCAGGUUGUUGCCUGCCACAAAUUAUUGGGCCAUUGUUUGCAUCACAGCACGAUAAUUGAAGUAGAAAUGUGUUCUAUAGACAACCAAAAUGAAAUGAAUGAUUAAUAUAGAUGAAGCGGGAGACUCCGGUGGAAAAAAAAAACAAACAAACAAACAAAAAAAAAUGCACCUCGAUCCUUAAAAGCGUGCUUUCAUGAUAUUCAGGUAGUACCUACAUACGUUGUUUGCGCGCUCGUCUAUACUUUCUUCACUUUUCACAGGCUCUGGGAUCAGAUAUUUUCUCUCUCUAAAUUUUCCAAAACUUUUCUUGUUCUAUUUAGUAGUGUAUUUUAAUAUUUUGCGUUGCGCAUUGCAUGCCAACUUAAGCUUAUCUAUAAACAUGUUCGGCGGGCCGUAAUGCCACCAAGGGCAAACAACGAUGUGCUCAUCAAUCACAAUUUGUACUCAGUACUCAUAAACUGCUAGGUUUGAAUCAAAGCUGGCAUUCUAUAUCAGGAGGCGAACAAAAGUAUUUGACAGAUCUAUCUUCUUUUUGUCAUGCGAAUGAACAAAGUGCAACAAUAUUAACUAUGACAGACUAAUAUAGUGAUAAGUGCUCCCUUGAUAGUACCUCCGUAGGUUAUUUUGAUACAUAAACAAAUUAAUAUGAUAUCAUCUUGAAUAUCCUCACACAAAAUUGUUCAGGGAUAGCAUAAGGAUCAUUAAUGCUUAGAAACAGCUAGAGAGAUUGUUCUGUUUAUUUCGGCGAUGAGACCACAUCUUUAUUACUUUCCGGGCAACAGAGUGAACCCACAAACAUGCUAUUGAUCCACUCUAGCAAAUUCAUGUAUAUAUACGCCAAUAAAGUAUGGAUUUUUUCACCUCCAUUUAUAUGGCAUAUAAAAUGAAAUAAAGUUAAUUUUGCAGCACUUACAAUACAUAGCCAACGCGCCCGUCGGGUAAUACCAUUGGCACCAUUGCCAUGCCAGCAGGGUUCGGCCCCCUUCCAUAAAACAUGGGCUGAAAUAAUCAAGGCAAGAAUAGAAAACAAGUAUGGUGAGAAAUUUCUGUUUACAUGUCAGGAGGGGAAAAAAAAAAAAAAAUUUGGGUAGUGUUUGGUCGAAAAUUUCCAUUCCAAGAUAAAGAUAAGUAUCUCCAAUGGGAACUCUAGUUCACAAUGCCAGUAUCCCCAAUUUUUUUGGAUGGGAAUAAUGGGAACAAACAUUAAAUAUAGGCUGCCCAUGGUGAUAGUGCAAUCCCACCGACCGAUGGAAUUGGUAUUCACAGUAAUAAGGCAGCCCACUGGGAAUACCUGGUGUGCUCUAUUCCAGGUAGGUAUUCAAAGAAUAAUACAAGAGCUGGGGAAACAGUGCCUAUUAUAUCCUCCAAAAUUCUGCCUUAAGGUUAUGUUUUUGAUGUUUUCCAGUAGGCCCCAUAAUCAGCCCCACCGGAAAAUAACCUACUACUAGUACCUGAGAAGGCUGAGGGAUCAAAACCCUAUAAAUAUGCACAUGCAGGGUUCGAUCCUCUGCCCGCGAGAAACAGCACGGAUAAGAACCACUGCACUAGGCAGUGGUUCUACCUUAGCGGUAAAAAUUAGACCAUACCUGCAUGGGAGCUGGAGCAAGCGCACCAUAAGCACCUCCCAUUAAGCCAUAACCAAUAGGGAGCGGAUAAUUGGGCAAGAGAGGACCUUUUUGAGCACUAGGUGCUGUUUCAACUUUCUUAUCUGAUGGAGGUUUCGCCAGAGAACAAUCAAGAACAUCACCUAUUUACAAAUGGAUCUGAGAUUAGAACUGAUAGAAAAACAGAAAACAAACUAGUAGACCUGAGCAAACACCAGAAUGAUGGGUCAGGUUCUAGCUGGGUCAGGAUUUAGGGUCAAGUAAGAAUUGCCCAACCUGAGAUCUAGCUAGUAUUUUGGGGCUGAACCCAGUCCAAAAAGACCAGGUCUGCCAUGACAAUUGAAAAAUAAAUAAAGACCUAAAUCUGACCCAAAUUUUCUUAGGCCUAAUUCGUUUAGGCACGUCCAGGCCCAAUGAACCAAAGUUGGACCCAACAGGACCAGCCAAAAAAAAAAAAAAAGAGGCCGGGCAGGUUGGGUUGCUUCUUAUGUCUACAACCAUAUAAGGCAUGCAAAAUUAUAAGUACUAGAAAUACUAAAACUCACCAUCAAGUUCAUACUUCUCAGUGUUCUUAAGCGCCUUCAUGGCCAUCGACCGCUCUUUAAAAUGCACAAAAGCAUACCUCUUCUCAUGACCGGGCUUUGGAGGCGGCAGCACCACCUUAGUAAUCUCUCCAUGGCGUUCAAAAAGCUUUAUCAACUGAUCUUGGGUUACAUUCUUAGGCAAAUUCUUUACAUAAACUGCCUUCACCUUAAAGUUGGUCACAAGAAAAGGAAUUUACAAGAUGCUUAAUUGAGAUAGACUUAUGCAAUCAAAUGAAGGUAAAAAUAAAUGGACAGUCCCUCAGCUAUAGGUCAUUUGAAAUAGACCCGCCAAUAUUUUGAUUCCCUCUUAAACUUCAUUUCGAUUUAAGUAAUUCAGUCUGUUGAAUUGGGGGGAAUUCCAUUAAGGGCUUGCUUGGUUCAAGGGUGGGAUUGAAAUGGAUAAUGGAAUGGGAAUGAAUUGGAAUGGUAAUUGGAUUGGUUCACUCCCCCAAGACGUUUGGUUCAUUUGUGGAUUGGAAAUUGGAAUGAGUUAUUCACAUUCCAUUGUUUGAUUCGUAUAAACUAAAAAAUUAUAGGAUACCAUAAUACUAAUUUUACUCUCAAAUAUAAUUUUAUAUUAUUUAAAAUUUAUGAAAAAUAUAAUACUAUUCUCUAAUAAUUUUUCCAAAAAAAUAUCAAAUUUAUUUUUAAAAACUUUUAUUGAUGUGGGUUAGGGAUAGGGUUUUGAGAGAGGAUAGGUGUUUUUUUUUUUUUUUGAUGAGAGAGGGGUGGAGAGAUCGUAUAUAUACAAGAUAGGAGAGUGAGAUGGUUGCAUCGGCCUUGGGAACUUAGUGGGCUUCGGGAAUGAAAUCUCAAUCCGGGCUAGGAGACCGGAAUCAAGUUGAAGGCUUAUGGGCCAUUCCCAUUCCAGUCCGAAAUAAGAAUCCCAAACCGAUUCCUGUAUAACCAAACAAAAUUAACCGGAUUUGAUCAAACCAAUUCCCAUUCCAUAUCCAAAAUGGAUGAACCAAACAAGCCCUAAGAGUUAACAGCUUCAUUAGUUAUUAGUUGUUAACUUUAAUGAAAGACAUAGUUCAGUCAACAGAAUCCACUAAAUAGAACAGAAUAACUGGAAUUAAAACAAACCAAAGUCGAACGGUGCCGAUUAACAACAAAGGCUGGAGGAUCCAUUUUAAAAUGACCUAUAGUUUAGAAAACAUUUUUCCCUAAAUGAAGAUAAUGCUAUUAAAAUAAAACCUGAGAGCUUGAAGAAGAAUCCCCACUCCUAGGGUCAGCCCAGCUCACUGUGGGGGCAUUAGAAUCUAGCUUGAAUUUGGGCAUGGACAUCUUCUUUCGUGAAUAUUCAGCACAUCCAUGGUUGUAAUACUCGAUAAAUGCAAAGCCACGAUUACGGCUAGAAUUUUGUGGAUCCUACAACAGCACACAAGAAAUAUCAGGUGAGAACAUGAUGCAUUUCAUGCCCCACAAUAAAUCAAAGGAUAGCAUCCAUGUGAUAUUAACAAAAUUCACUGAUUCUUUAAGUGACAAAGUUACCAUUAGAUAUGUAUAAUACAUCAUUACUUAUUACAAGUGUAUAUUGAAAAAAUAAAAAAGAAAAAGAAAAGAAGCCUUACCUUCAUCAAGUCAACAUUAAUAACUCCAGGACCAACUUCACUAACAACCUUCUUCAAAUCAUCCUUCGUCCAGUUUCUAGGAACAUUUCCAAUGAAUAGACGAUGCUUUGCUUGCGAUGUGGAGCACUUUAUCUUCUUCCCCUGACAAAAUUUUCCACACCCAGAAUAGUAUAUAGCAUUAGAAGUCGCAGUAGAAGAAUAAAUUUAAGAUAUGGACCUAAAAGGACAAUACCUAAUUGUAAAGAUUCAAAGACAAGCUCUUCUUGCAAUUUCAUCAAACAAAGAGCUAAAAUGAUGAAAAUGCACAGGCUAAAAUGCAAAAGUUUUUCACUGUAAAUAAUUAGAACGAAAAUUUGAAUCAUCGAUAUUUCUAAAAACUUCUUAAUUACGCACAUUGGUUCAUGAUUUUCGAUAGUACUGUCAUACAAUGUAAAAUAAAAUUUUAAAAACAAAAAAAAAAACACAACCAUUGACGAUCUCCCUAGCAGAUGGAGAGACAAAUGUUUGGAUUUCUGAGAUUAUCCUCUAACAGGAGUUGUUGAAUAUCAAAAACUUAAUUACACGGAAUUCCCUUUUUUGGAACGAGCUUAAGGAGUGGCAUUAUUGGCAGAGAAGACAUCACUAAUUUCAACAUGAUUACAUGAAUCAAUUUUGUAAUGUUUACUGAGAUUAAAAGGGCCAGAUCAUAGAUUCACAUUAAGGGAUAACUUCCAAAUAUGACAAUUUGCAUCUUAAGGAACAAGCAGUUCAAGAUACUAACAUUCAAAAGAAAGGUGGUAUUAUUGAUUGAAAACAAUAGCACUAGGGUGCAUUAAGGCAAGACUAGCCAUUGAACUAGUUCAAACCCCUAAUUAUUUCCAUAUUCUAUAAAUCAUACUAAUUAGCACCAUAAAAGAGGAGAGGGUGAAGGAUUUACUUUAAAUUCAGCAUUUCUCAAAUCUCUAAUAGCCUUUGCAGCUAAUUCUUUCGUUCUGAAAGUAACAAAGGCGUAACCUUUGUUUUCUGAUGAAUCCUUGCCUUUCAUCAUCCUAACCUGCGUUCAUUAAAAACACUAUAUCAAGAUUAACACAAACUGAAGAAACAGCUUAUGACUGGGAAAAAAAAAAACCAACAGCUCACCUCAAAGACCUCGCCAACAGACUCACAGAAAUUUUUCAAAUCUUCUUCUAAAGCAUCGUGAGGAAUAUUGCCAACAUAAACUUCAGAACCAUGAGGAGGAAGAGCAAGGAGUUCAGCAUGCGUUUUGCUUUCAUCCUCAUCAGUUUGAUCAUCAUCCUUUGAUUCACGCGGGCCAUUCGUUCCAGGUCCACUAGCAGUUUCUUCCUCAUCGGGGUCCUCCUCCUCUUCCUCCUCUUCAACGACCUCCUCUUCCUCCUCCUCUAUUUCCUCUACUUCUUCUUCAACUUCUUCAUACUCAACCUCUUCUUCUUCCAUUGUCUCUUCAUGUUCUUCAACUUCAGGCUCCGGCUCAGGCUCAGGCUCAGGCUCAGCAGGCUUUACUGGUUCAGCUGGCUUUGCACUUGCUUUCCUCCUCGGCAUUUAGUGUAUCUAAAAUAAGCUUGCAGGGCAACUGUGGGCAAAGCACAGGAGCCAGAAGCAAAUCGAGAGGGAGGAUAGAAAUAGAGAGAGGAGGAGAUAAAUAGAAAGGCCAGGAGUUGCAAAGUAAGAAUCUGAGCUCAAGCCAAGCCAUGGUAUGGCAAAGGAGUUUCAAUGUGAAAAAGUUUGUCCUUUGAUGCCAAAUAUAGCGGUAAUAGAAACAAACAAGAGAACGUAUUUCGAAUGACGAACAAGGAGGAUGCUCAACAGAUGCAAAAGAAAUGAAAAGAUUUAGAAACUUGCCCACAUACAACUGCUGGUUUAAUUGCAUAAUUCAAUAUAUUCCUAAUCAUUGAAUCAAAGAAAGAAAAAGGACUAACUGAAGGAACAAUUGUCAAUGUAAGACGCAAGCAAUUGGCAUGGAAACAAACAAAGCCAGGAGUAAACACUGCAACCAUAGUAUCUGUUGUUCUGCAGGAUAGAACAAUUGGUUCACCUCCAUCUAAAGUAUGUGAAAUUGCUAGGCAAAAAAAAAAAGCAAAAAAGAAACAAAACCUCUACAUACGACAAUAUUUCAAAAAACUAAUUAGCCAUUAAAGAGAAUAAUAGCAGCACAGUACUAAGAAUCCAAUCCACAGAGAAUAUCAUUUCAUCAAACAUAAUUACGUAAAUACAUAUACAAAAAUAAAUAAAAUUUUACCAAAAUUAAUGAUGCCACAACAACACCUCGCCAUAAAAUUUAGGCUAAAAUGCAAAAAACCUCCCCUGAAAUAUUGUGUAGUUGCAUAGUUCCCCUAUCUAUAACCCAAAAAGAAAAGAAAAACUAAAAGAUCUAAUGAAAAAUAUCUCUAUGAGGCUACAGCAUUAAGAGAAGGGUAAAAUCGCAAACUUGCUCUUUUGUCGAAUCCUCCUACUCAACCACCACCUUCUAGUCCUCCCUAUUCUCUCCACCUCCUACAACUCAUCCCCCUUAUUCUCUUCUUCCAUCAGUCCUCCUUUACAGCCACCACUUCCUCCUCGACGCAUCUCAUUCUUCACCUCCUCUAUCAUCUCAUCCUCUCCUUCUACUCCACCUCCUAGUACUCUCCAUAGUCUAGGAUUCAGCAAAGUUCGGACAAGGAAAGGACUAUGGGAAGAAAAUUAAUCUACGGAUGAAUAAAUAAGUCUAUGACUGAAUCAAUGAACUGUAAUAUUAGUAAAUCAAGAUAGCUAGAUGGAGAAGGAAAAAUCCUUGAUUGGAAAGAGUGCCAAAGAAAAUUAUAUUCGUUAUCUUAAACUAAAGUCAGUGAGGGAAACUGGUGAGAAACAAUUAAUAACAAAGAAUCACCUCUUAUUUGUCAGUAUUCUAUGACUUAUAAAUGUUAUAGGUUAAACUGAAAACUUCUAAAAGACCAGUACAAGACUAACUGCACUAGAAAGAGCCAUACUCAAAACAAAUUAACAGUCCAUAAAGUGCAAGCUUCAAUAAAACCAAAUGAGAUGAUUUUGAGAUGAAAAAGAAAAACUACAUAGCCCUCCUAACAAUAAUAGGAUCACACCAAACAACUCAGAAUCAGCUAUCAAUUUGUUGUGAAUCAACUCACAGGAGAAGCAUGCCUCAUAAAACUACGUCCAAUAUGAGUAAAAACUGACUCUGGUUAGAGAGAGCAUCAAAUGAACAGGACUAGAAGUAGAGAAUCAGCCAAAAAUCUACUGCAUAGUAACUCACAUAAAAAACAUCCUUGUGAAGAUACAACCAAUAAAGAAAAUGAGUGGGUCCUAGGAAAACUAAAAGAUCUCAUUCCAAACAGUUCUGAGAACAUGUAAUCUGUCUCACUUCCUCCCAUAAUUGCUUACAUAUACUAAAACCUUGUAGUAAACACUAAACAGCGGAAACUCCAUUAUCAAACCAAUAGUUCGCUUAAUAAUUGUAAUCAAUGACUAAAAGUUGAUGAAACACCCUCUUUAUCGACAUAUAGUCCACCAACUUUCUACAAAAACAUAAGCUUAAGACAACACAAGCAAACAAUAGUUUCACCAAUUACGCUUUUCAAAAACAGUAAAACCUGCACUACAUAGGAAACCAAUAGUGAUGUCAAAUAUCAGCUGCUAACUCUUCUAGAAAUAACAAAGAUCAGCAAAAAGCAAACACUCCAAGCAUUCAGGUUAGCUACAGAAUUAACACCACAGAUCUGGAGCAGAAAAAUUAACGAUCAAACAAAUCCAGCUUAGCAGAUCCAUCAACUACUAAAAGGAUAGCAUCACAUCAACAAAUUCGAAUCACAGCACGAAAAAUCUCGUAUAAACCCUAAUUAACACCUUUUUGGGCCAUCAAACAUCCCCAAUCUCAGCUCCCUCGGUCUCAACUGCUGUAACAACAAUCGCAAGACGCCGGUGACCAUAAAAUCGAAUAAAAUCUUCCUAAAUUGCUCACAAAGCUUCGAUCUUUCGAAGGGAUCAACGUUUACAACAAAGAAUGGAGAUCAUUAUGGCGAAGAGAUGAGAUCUCAAAUCAAUGUAGUGAGGAGGAGAGGGGAUCUGAGGGGGAAUACUCACCACGAGAGGAGGGAUUCGGCGGGAAUCGAGAGGAUGAGAGCGAAAUCGAAGCAAAAAAAGAACAAAAGGAACCCUAGAGAGCGAACACAGAGGUUGGGAUGGGGUUCGAGUCAAUUAAGAAUGCCAGAAUUACGAAAAUACCCUCUUCGGCGUAGGAGGUUCUGGGAGGAGUUAUUGCCUAGACCGGGUCCACAGCAGCAGCCAAUCAGAGCACUUCACAUCGGAAAGUCUAUGAGAAUAGCCAAAAAUGUCGUUUAAUAGACCAGUUGUGCCACGUCGACUACGAGCCAAACGGGCCAAUAAGUUGUAUAGGGUCAAAUUUAUGGAGUGCUUUCAUUUAUUUUGAAUACUAGUGCUGGAUCCGCGCUUCACAGCGGCCGAUAAAUUAAAAUAUAUAAUUAUUAAAAUUUUAAAAUUAAAAAAUUAUAAUUAAAUAAAAAAAUUAUAAAAUAGUGUUACGUAGUAAUGUACAUUACAAAAAAUAUUUUUUUUAUUAAUAUUUUCUUAAUUUUAGAAUAGUAUAUUAUUCUAACAAUUUUAUUUAAAAAUUAAUCAAAUUUAAUAGUUGUAAAAACUGUUCUAUAAAUACUUUUUUAACUAAAAAGUUAAAAUUGGAAAACUUAUGUCAAAUUGUCGAAAAGGUGAAGAUGUCUUUAACUUGUUAAAAUUGAUUGAAAAAAAUAUUUCUUACAUGCACAUGAUAUAUAUUAACAUUCUAUACACCACAACUUAUAUUAGAUGAUAAAUAUUUUGAUAUCAAAACUUAAUUAAAUAUAUAUUAUCUAUAAAGUUAAUAAUUUAAAGGGUAAACUUCAAAUACCCCCUUGUGGUUUCACUUUUUCUUACUUUAGUAUCUUGUGAUUUAAAGUGUAUCAAGUUAGUACCCUGUGGUUUUGCACUUUUUCACUUUAGUAUCAUGUGAUUUAAAGUAUAUCAAGUUAGUACCUUGUGGUUUCGCACUUUAUCACUUUAGUACCAUGUGGUUUCGCACUUUAUCACUUUAGUAUCAUGUGGUUUAAAAACCACAGGGUACUAACUUGAUACAAAAAUAAAACCACAGGGUACUAACUUGAUACAAAAAUAAAACCACAGAGUACUAACUUGAUACACUUUAAACCACAGGGUACUAAAGUGAUAAAGUGAGAAACCACAGGGUACUAACUAGAUACACUUUAAACCAUAGAGUACUAAAAUGAAAAAGUGCGAAACCAGAGGGAGAGUUUUUAAAGUUUUCCCUAAUUUAAAUUCUAUUUAAUGAAUAAGAUUUUAAAAUAAAAAACAAAAAAAAAAUAAGAGUCGAAGAAUUAAAAAAAAUACAAAUAAAAAAAUUGAAGAUGAAACAAGAGCUAUUACAGUAAAAAUAUAAGAAGUAUUUAAAAAAAAAAACUAUAAGAAGAAGUAUAUUUAUAGCAGCAGUAAGAUUUAAAUAUUAAAAUAUCAUAUGUUUCACAAUUCGAGCCAAAAAAUUAUAACUAAUUAACAUUUAACACUUAAAAUAUUGUGUCCCUUAUAGUUUGAACAGAAAAUAGUAAUCCAAAAGAGUUCUAGAAGUAAAGUUUCACGCAUUUUAUAGUUUGAGGACCAAAAGCACAAUUUACUUUUUUAUACCCAAACGCUAAUUUUUUACCCGAUAACAGUAGUUCUCGGUUACCUAUAAUAACCGGUUACAACUAUCCCCACCAACACCUCCAUUUUUUAUAUAAAACAAUCUAAUAUUUUUCUUAUUCCAUAUUAUCUAUCCAAACGCUAUUUUUUAAUCUCCGGAAACAACCCAAUUUUCAUCCAAACGCUAUUUUUUUUAUCCCCAUAUUUAUACCUAUUCCUGUAAUAACUAGUUCUUACUUAUAUCCCAACCAAACGAAAAAAUUAGCCAAUUUAUAAAUAGAGAGUGGGUUGAACAUUGGAAUCCUCAACCUUCGGAUUCCAAUGUCCGGAGAAAGUGGAAACGUGAGUUUCCACCUAAUUAAUCCACCUUAUUAAUUAAAAAUAAUAAUAAUAAAUACUAAUAAAUAAGAAUAAAAGAAUUAAUAAAUCAAAGAUAAAAUAAUAAUAAUAAUUAGAAAAUUUUGGAUUUUGUCACCAACAAAUGGCCUUUAAAUGAAGGGGAUUUAUGAUAUACACUUAUCUUUUGGGGUGUAUCAAUAAUAUUUUUUUUCCUUUUUUAAUAAAAUGCUAUCUAUACGGCUAUACAUUUCAUUAAAGAGUAUACAUUUUAUGCUCUCAGAUUCUAAGUUUCCCCAAACUCUUUGAAAUUUUUAAUUAAAAAAAUGAUAAUAUUAUGAUAAAUCCUAGCCACACAAAGCAUAUGGUGGAAGAUUUAAGCUCCAAUGCCUUUUUUUUUUUUUUGCUGAAUUUUAAUUUAGUCUUUGUAGUUUAGCAUAUUUUUAUUUUGCUAUCCUAUAAUUUAAAAAAUAAUACUUAACUAUCUAAUGAUUUUAUCUUUAUUUUUUAUUAAAAAAUCUAUUAUCAAAUAGAAUAGCAAAGUGAACUUUUUUUUUAAUAUCCACAGGAUGAUAAAGAGCAAUGUUUUAAACUACAGGAUGACAAAAUAAAAAUUAAUUAGAUUGUGACAUUUAAGUGUAACUUUUUAAAGUAAAAAUGAGUUAACCCACGAAUGGGUCAAAUUAACGUUUACCAUUUUUUUAAGGUGUUUUCAAUUUAUUUGCCACAGUCCAGAAUAUAAUUUUUUAACAUUCAAUUCUAUAUAUUUUUAAUAAGCAUGUAAAUAAUGAAUAGCAGGUGCAUAGGCUAUGAGCAGGAUUAUAAAAAAUUAUUGGUUAAAAUAUAAAAAAAGCUAUGUUAAUAUCCAUCGUUUUCACAUUUUCAGCAAAAUUUAUUUUUUUUAAAAAAUAAAACAUUUAGCGUCCCUCCUUUCUCUGAAAAAAAAAAAAAGAUUGUAGCACUUAACUUUUAUUAUAAUAAUUCCGUUUCUAUUUCACGUAUGAAUUAUAUGGUACAACCAAAAAACUUGUUAAAAUACUUAUUAUAUUCCAAAAAAUGGUGAGAAUGUAUAAGAAUUUUAUAUUUUCCCUCAAAUUAGAUAAAUUCCCGACUAUAUACUAAUUAACUUUUUUCCAUCAUAUAUUCCAAAGGGUUUAAUGAUAUAUUAGUAAUUAGCCGAUUGUUUUUUUUAGAAAAGUAAUUACCCGAUUGUAGUGCGUAAAUUAUGUAUAGAAUAGUGACGAAAUUAUAAUAUUGUUGGGAGCCGAACGUCCUGAUCCUUGACUUGGUCAAAAAUCUUCCUCAGGAAGCGCGUCGGGAUGCGGAACGGCUACGAUUAAUGACCCUUGAAGUUUGCGCCCUUCGACCGGAUCAAGCAAUUCGGCUGAUGAGGGAUCGAAUCAGCCGAGUUCAAAGACCUUUACUAUAAACUCAGUUCGGCUGAAAGAGCCGAAUGUACAGAAUGCACAAGAUUUUAGGUCGACUGAUGAGCCGAAUAGAUGGAAUACACAGUGACCGGUCGACUGAAAGAGCCGAAUGCCUUAAUAUAAAAAAUGAAGUUAGGAACUCAUACAAAACAGAGUGUGCCUAAAGGGCAUACAGACUCUGAAAAUUUAGAUUACAACAGAGUGUGCCCGUGGGGCAUACAGACUCUAUAAAUCUAACUUAAAAAUUACUCCUAGAAAAGCAAUAAAUGCGAGUAAAAAAGAUUACAUGUAGACUACUCCUAGAAAACAAUAAAUAUAGAAAAUGACAAUAUUGAAAAUACGGUGGUAUUCUCGUUCAGGAAAAAAAAAUCCAAUUUACAGGUUUCAAAGUUACUAUUUAUAAUAUCUUAUCAGCCUAUAUUAUUAGUUGGUUAUAGUAGCGGGGGAAAUGGUAUAGCCAUGAUCAUAAAAGUUACGCCCUACUUCUCAACCGUUCCCGCCUAAACGCUUUUGAUCUUCAGGCGUCUUAUUGCCGACUCCUGGUGUACCACGUGCCAUUAUUUUUUUAGCUCAUACGUGGAUUAGGUCGGCGUGUUAAUUUUUUGGUAUCAACAAAUAUUAUUGAGUUAAGUACUAUAAUUUUAAAUUUAAAGGGGCAAGUAGAGAUUUUUAAAAGACAAAAGGUAAAAUAGAAAAAUAGUUAUUGCUUUUCACCCCACAUGAAUAAAAUUAUGAUUUUUUUUUAUUUGUUUCUCAUAAGAAAUGUGAUUGAAUUUUUUUUACGAUACCCACUAAGUACAUUAUUUUUUUUUACUUAAGACAUUUUUUUAAAAAAAAUUAAUGAUAUAAGAACUUAAUGGACUUGUGAAUCUUUAAAAAAUUGAGGUAAAAAAUAAACUGGACUUUUGUCAUGCUAUAGCGGCUGUUAUAGUCAAUACUUCCUAUGGUUUUAAUCUUUUAUUUUGGCCAACUUGUAUAAAAAAUCUAUAAGUUUUGAGCUUUUGAAAAACUAAGCCGUCAUUUUUGAUUUUUAGAUUCGGUCCGGAUUUUCAGCAAACUGACCAAAACCCUUAUAUCUUUUUAUCGCGUUCUUUUUUUUUCUCGCCGAAGAAGGCGACGGAGGCGGAGGCGAAAGCGGAGGUGGAGGCAGAAACGACCCCUUACCUCUACCCCUCACACCCUCGCCCGCGCAACCCCCGCCCACCCUCGCCCUCCUUGUCUCGGACCCCGCCGACCCUUUUUUUUUUUUUNUGCGCCGCUUUUUUUUUUUUUUUCUCUCCGACCCUCCUCUACCGCCUCUGCUGCUCUUCGCGGUGAUAGCGAGUACGGUAACAUGUCUUCUUCCUCCCCUUCACUUUCCACCUUAACUGGAGCGGAUUUUCUACCUACCAAACAAACCCGCUAUCCCUACUGCCGCCACCGGCGACGAAGAGGAAGUGCUUCUCGGGGCCGAGAAACACGCCGACGAGUGAGAGGGACAAAAAUAGUUACACAGGAGCAUCUCGAUUAGCAAUUAAUUUUAUUUUAAAAAAAAUUAAAAGGUUAAAAACUAGAGAAUAAUAAAGAAAAUUAGAAAAGAAUGAAGAAGAAGAUGAAGUUACACUGUUAAGAUUAAAUCAUAUUAUUUUAAAAGAACGUUGCACUAUUAUGGGCGUAAAUUGCACUCUUUGAAAUAUAAAUUGCACUCUUUAAAAUAAAAGUUAUAUUCUUUAAACGAAAGUUGCACUCGUUGAGAGAUAUUUACAAUGUUUUUUCUCUUAUUAUACUUUUUGAGAUAUAAACUGCACAUUUAAAAUAAAAGUUACACUCUUUAUAAGAUAUUUAUAUUAUUUUUUUCUUAAAUAUUAUGCUAUGUAACGUUUAAUUUAAAAUAUUAUUAUUAUUAUUAUUAUUUUGAAAGAAAGAGAGUUGUUGCAUGCUUUAUUUUUUAAAAAAUAAAAUAAACUAAAAAUAUAUACCGCGUACGGUAGGCAGCUCGUGUUGAGAAAAAGAAGUGGGUACAUCAAUCAUACAUACAUGUUGCUAAAGCGGUGCACGGAUGACGUGGUGCACCAGGUGCAGCCAAACACCCCAAGAAGUCGUCAUUCCCCUUACCCUCAUCCUCGGCUCCUCCUAUCCUCUUCCGUAUACAGCAACAGCACUCGUACUCGUUUCCGUCCCCCGACGCUCUCCUUCCCCAAAACUCACGAAGGGGGCGACGAAGAACCCGAACCCCCACCACCAUCAACUCCUCCUCCUCCUCCUCUUCCUCCUCGAGAUCGAUCGCGGUGUAACAAGCGCAGAUCCCUCCUCCUCCCCUUGGUCCUCCCAUGGCGACGCGGUACUGGAUCGUCUCUCUCCCCGUCCAAUCCUCGGCUCCCGCGCUCUGGGAUCGCCUCCGCGAAUCCAUCUCCAAGAACGCCUUCGACACCACUCUCUACCGCGUACCCUUUUACCCUCUCCGAUUCCAUGAUUCGAGCUCCUCGGGUAGCUCUGAUCGGAUCUAGGGUUUGGUUUCUUCCUCUUCCUCACGUCGUUUUCGAUCUCUUUCUUGCAGUUCAAUACGCCCGAUCUGCGAGUUGGAACGCUUGAUUCGCUGCUCGCUCUCAGUGAUGACCUCGUCAAGGUGCGAUUAUACCCCAUUUUCGAUGUCUAGUUUGGUUUUUUUUGGUUUGGUUUGGUGUUGAUUGGUUGGGAUCGCAGUCGAAUGCGUUUAUAGAAGGGAUCUCGCAUAAAAUUCGGCGCCAGAUCGAGGAGCUGGAGAGGUCUUCUGGCGGGGAAGGGGGCGCGCUCACGGUGGAUGGGGUUCCUGUGGAAACCUACAUCACGAGGUAAGUUAAUACUAAGUUUCCUCUCGUGGAUAAUGGGGAAAUAGUUUGAUUUGAGUGGCCGUUUUUGACUGCAGAUUUGUUUGGGACGAAGGCAAGUAUCCACCGAUGUCACCUCUGAGGGAUAUUGUAAACAGCAUUCAUACCCAAGUAGCCAAAAUUGAGGAUGAUAUGAAGGUCAAUCGAAAUUUCUCUUUGAAGCACUCCAAGUAAUCAUAUUCAUUUUAUAGCAUUGACUGCUGAAUAAAUAGAGCAAAAAUUGGGUUAUUAAUUGAUGAUUUAUAAUGCAUUGUUCAUUGUUUAUACCUAUAGGUUUAGUAUUUUAAAUGGCUUAUACCCUAUGCUCUAGGUUAUCGAAUGUUGAAUCUAGAGUUGUUGAGAUUUGAUGGUGUUUGAUGAUCAUCUUUCUAGUUCUACAAUCACACAAAUAUAUACAAACUUAACCUUGCUUACUUUUCUAAGAUAGAUUCUAGUGCCAGUAGAGACCAUAACUUUAGCUGAAAUGCUGUAGUAGUGUAUUUAUUGUCCAAUGGUUAUCAUGACACCGGCAUUGACAUCCUAUAAUCUUCUAUUGAGACCUAUAAAUAUCUCAAAAUGCUGUUUGAGAUGAUAGGCUUCUGUGUGUUUGCCGCCCAGAAAUGAUAGCCAUAAGUGAAAAGGAUAUCACCUUUCUUUAAAACGAUCCUCUUUGGAGGAAAGCUGAUGAUGAUAAAGUUUUGCUGCUAUAGCCGUCAGCAUUCUUGUGUUUGGUGGCAUAUGCGAUCAAACAUAUCCAUGACUGAACAUGUCACGCCCGGUCCCCAGCCGAAGCCUGCCCAGUGUGUGCCCAGACCUGCCAUAUGCUAAGAACUUAUAAGAUGUCUACAACAAACAUGACGAAAAAGCACAAGAUAAUAAUAAAAUCUAACAUGAUAUCAAAGCACGGAACAUAAACUACUCUCUAAUGACAAGUAUAGAAAAGUAAAUAACUAAACAACGAUAAUAAUCCUCAAAAUACAUACACCAAGGAACCACAUAAGUAAAAGCUAAAUACAAAAUGGUGGUCUCUAUACAACAAGGACAAAACACCUCUCCAACAAAAACAAAAAGAGAGAUGACCACCUAGCAAAAUCUCCAAGCUAAGUCUAGCUAGACGCGACCCCGUUGCCGCGGUCCCUAGCCUCUUCUGCAUUGGAUGGCUCUGUAAACAAAAAUAUCAACAAAAUGGGAAUGAGAACUAUUAGUCAAUAGUUUCCAGUGGGUAAGCCGCCGAUAUCAGCGAAUUACACCACUAGGUCACUGAGGCAUAAGUAGUAAAAGCAUAAAUAGAUAGAUAACAUGAUUAAUAAGCAAUUAUUAAAUCACUAAGCUACUAUGCCUCCGAUUAACAUGAUAUUUAACAUGUAAUAAAGCUACUCUAUCAUGAAUGAGCAUGUACGACUAGUAUGCACUAUCUAGUAGUGAUGAUCACAUUACAUAUUUAAAUGUCAUUGUUCAAUUCAACUAGGACCUACACAAGUGUAGUCUGGUUUGCGCCGUGCCUAAUGGUCCUGUGGUAGUCAACAUUCUCCCUUUAGAAAUAAGUCUCGCCCAUGGCAAUCCACUUCGGCGCCCAAUCCCGCACAGGCGAGCAUGUGUCGCGUAGGCUAACUCCGGAGUGCAGGCUUGUAGGGAGCGAUCCUCACAAGCUUGUGCGAAUGAGCACGUUGGCAAGCAAGCAUGAUCAACGAUAUAAAGUCCUCGGUUAUCAUGUCUAAAAUAUGGUACUAGCACUAGCAACCCAAAGGUCGGAUGCUAUGUCACUUUGUAGAGGUUUAGUCAUAUAACUAAGUCAAGUAUCGCUACAUGAAGUUCAUGCUAUCUAUGUCAUGUAUAAGUCAUUGGUCUACAAGCAUGUUAAACCUUUUAUUUCACUAAUCAUAACAUGAGUUCUAACAUGGCAUGAAGGAUAUCAUUUCACUUACAAGUUCAAUAUACAACUCUCUCUCUACUAUAUAGAGGAUGUAAAACUUGACAUGUAACAUGUACAUCUUAGACAUUCAAAAAUUCAUUUAGACUACAUCUAUCAUGAAUAUGCAUGAUUUUCAAUUUUAGAACACAAGGAAUGACAUAGGAGGAGUUCACCCAUUUCGGUAAGGUCAAAUCCAUCGGAUACUCCUCGAACUCCUUUGUUUGCGCGAACGAAGUUGUCCACAAACCUCCUAGCACCCUAACAAAAAUUCUAAGGGGGUUAGAAGCUUCUAACAAGCUCCCCACGAAAUUCCUCAAAAAUCAUGCCAAAAAAUAGGUAGAAAAUACCUCAAAUGGGAAAAAACUCUUCCAAAACUCUAAUGGAGGUUGGGAGGCUUCAAUUCCAACCUAAAAGGAAGUUUUGGAACCAUCAAUUAAGCCCCAAAGGCUCUACCAAGAGAAAACCCAAAACGAAAUCCCAGUUUUCCAUAACUAGGUCUAACUCCAAAAAUCCUCCCAAAAACACAACCCAAGGGAGUAAUCAAACUAUUAACUUUCUAUAGAGCUCCAAACCAAGCUAAGAUGGAGCUAGGGUUGGAGAUAAUUCUUCAACAAAGCUCUAUUCUUCAACUUCAAGACUUCUCCAAGGUCCAAGAACAACUAUCUAUGAAAAAGGAGAAGAAAGAGGAGAUCAAACCACUAAAAUCACAAACCAAGGAGAAGAAAGCUAGAGAGAGGAAAAGAGGGGACUUACCAAGCUCUCUUUCUAGUUCUAAGCACAAAGAACCCUACAUGGGGGUGUUGGGGGUUAUAUAGCAAUGUAACAAUCCCCAAAAUGACGCUCAAAAGCACCCAAAUAGCAAACUGCACAAAACACAGUUUAUUGCACUACGUACUGGUACUCGAAUUGGAGUACUGGUAUUCGGCACCCAGACCCGCAAAACCCGAGCCUCGGUCAAUCGGGUUGGUUACGAUGUACCGGUACUAGCUCGAUGCAGUACCGGUACCCGGCCUAGUACUGGUACUCGACGACUCCGUACCGGUACUCAGCACCCCACAGCUCAAAACCCGAGAGCAGCCUUCUCGAUCACGCGUUGGGGUUCCGGUACCCCACUCAGGUACCGGUACUCAGUACCUCAAAACUUGCAGUUUGCAGAUUUUGGUGCUAAGGACUCCCUCUCGCGUUCACGAAACACAAGUAAUAGGUCGGUACACAGUCAAUGACCCCCAAACACACCAAGAACAGAUCAAAAUACUAUUUUGACACUGGAACCUUGCAAUUUGCUAAAGUUCAGUGUAUUACAGAACAUGACCAGUUACACAGGUUGUACUUCUAUACUAUCAGCAAGGGCUUUGGUUUAGCGGGGAAUCCCGACCAUAGUAACAUGAAUGAGGCAAGUAUGCAGCAACUUAAGUGGGGCUUGGAGAAGGGAUGGGAGACGACAUUUAAGGCCCAUUUCAUAUCUAACUUGUUCCAUACUUCCUAGAACCUGCCUUGAGUCACAUUGAAUUACUAUAUUUUUAAAUAAAUGUAAUAAAAUUUAAGAACAUAUUUUGCAUGUUGAAAAUAAUAUACAAUUUAUAAUUUUGUAGGUAUGGAUGUAAUCAAUAUAAGAUUGGAAGAUUUAGAUGGGAAGCUUUAGAUUUCUCUAUGUUGCACAUACAUGAAACCAAAUAUGAACACAAUAUUAUACAAAUAUGGCAAUACGCCAAUAUGACUAGUUUAAAAAAUCUUAUGAUAUGAUAGGUGGGGGAUAUGGGACUAAAAUUAUUUUUAAUAAAUACUUAUGAACUGUUUAUAUAUGACAAUGUAUGUUAAAAUACUUCACAUGCUUAGAUGACAUAAAGCAAUAAACUCAAGAACUUGUGCAAAGAUAUAAAUAUAUUUGAGAUUUUUUCAUCACGAAAUAAAGCUACUUAAACCAUCAUUAUCUUGAGUUUCAUCAACCAUUAAUCCAUAAUGUGUGUCAUCCAAAUGCCUGGAUGAGAUAACUUAUAUCACAAAUUUUGGAUCUGUAACACAUGAGAUAACUUGUGCGUCCUUCAAGUAUCCCUCAUGUAUCAGGUAUUUUCUAAAAUGUUAAAAUAUUGGAUACUUCUAUGACUUAUUAAUAUUUGUGCAUGUGUCAGGCGCUUCGGUAUCGAAAACUUAUAGGAUAGGGGCACAACAGCUAGAAUGAAGUGUCAGUGCUUCAAAGAAUGUUCUUCUAUUACAGUUUGGACUUUGGAGUUGAAUAUUCUAGGUUGUUUGCCAUCAUACAGCCCUAAGAGCGAAAAAAAUUUUCUUCCCUUUCUCUCUUUGCAUAAUAAGCUGGCGUCAGAUAUUUCCUAAUUUAAUCAGCAUAUUAGAAGCCAUUCAUUGCUGUCCUCUUCUGUACAUUGCAGGUUCGAGCAGCAGAAUAUAAUAAUGUGCGAAGUCAGCUCAAUGCAAUAAAUAGAAAGCAAACUGGAAGGUAUGACCUAGUGGUUGGCUUUUGCAGUACCUCCUACACAAGGGUUUACAAUUAUGAUAUAUAAAUAUAAAAUCUCUCGAAUGUUUUGUUUCUUAUUUUAGUUUUGUCUUAAUCUUCUGAUGUCUAAAACUGCCUUUAUACCUGUAACAGCUUAGCAGUUCGUGACCUUUCUGACUUGGUAAAGCCAGAAGAUAUCAUUACAACAGAACAUCUAGUGACUCUUCUUGCUGUAGUACCCAAAUAUUCUCAGAAGGACUGGUUAACAAGCUAUGAAACGUUGGCUACCUAUGUGGUAAAGAUUUAUGAUGAUUAUGAUGGUGUAAUUGAUGCAAAUUUGAUGCCAUUAUUAUCACAAUUGAUUUCGUAGUUUUGCUAUUUAUACUCAGUCAGUCAGUUCUUUAUAAAUGUUCUUCAUUCAUGUUUUAAAAGUACCAAUUAUCAACAUAUAAAUGGCAAAAACUGACUUAUAUGCAUAGCACAUACUUUGCUUUGCUUUUAGGUUUUAUUUUGCUAAUUUUUAAAUUUUACAAUGUAGGUACCUAGGUCAACAAAAAAGCUACAUGAAGACAAUGAAUAUGCUCUCUACACAGUAACACUCUUUGCUAGAGUUGCUGACAAUUUUAAGAUCAGUGCACGUGAAAAAGGAUUUCAGGUGAGUUUAUUUCCUAUCUAUUCAUUUCUUAAGCAUGUUUUGAGUCGCAUAUAAUUGAGAUUUCUGUUGGCACUCGUUUAAAGCUGAAGUACAUUUAUGGAUCUUAUGCUGUCUCAAGCUUUCUGCUUGCAUGAUUUUCUUCUUGCUUAGCCUUAGUGGUUAUUUCACUAAUGAAUUCUUCCUCUUGUUUCUUUUGGCUUAGAUUCGUGACUUUGAAUAUAGCCCAGAAACACAUGACAAUCAGAAAACUGAACUGGAGAAACUAAUGCAUGAUCAGGAAAAUAUGAGGGCCUCUCUUCUUCAGUGGUGCUAUGCUAGUUAUGGCGAGGUAUAGGACUAUUAUUACAACCUAUGUGAAUAUCUAACUUUGUUGGAUGUUAAACUAAUUGCUCUCAAAGAGGACCAAUCUCCAGUUUUAUUUGGUUGAACUGCUAUCAUGAUUUGCUCAUGAGGCGUUCUUCACAUUAUUGUUGCUCUGUGCUAUCUGUUAUAUCAUAAGAAUAUAGUUUUGGUUGCACAAUCGGAGACCGUAAUUUUAUAUCUAUCCACUAUGUACUUCUAAGACAAUCGGAUCUCUUAGAGCUGUCCACAAUCUUGGGGGCAGUAGACAGUUUCCUGUUGCUUUGACCAAUGUCCUUUUUUGGCUUAUAUCACUAAUUUUGGCACUUUCAACAAUAGUCUGGCAAACCAGUGUAGAGCUGCUUUUCAAAACCAUCUAACAUUGGUUUUAAUUAAUUGUGUAAGCUAUCCUCGAAAGUAGCCGGUACAGUAGAUCUGAGCAAAAUUUGCCCAGCCCACACAACCUGGCCUCCCUGGCCUGCAUUUUGUUCAUUAACCCAACUUGACUAGGUUCCGCCUAGUCAUUUGGACCGGACCAGGCUUGAUAGUUCCAGAGUGGGCUUGGUCCAAGCUAGCAUAUCUUAACCUAGUCCGAGCCCUGGCUCGUGUUGGACUUUGCUUAGCUCCGUACUACAGCUUAGCUCUGUAGUACAGGUUUCCUUGUUCUGUCAUUUCAUGUAGUAUUUCUAUCUUAAACUUUUAUGUCAGAUCCACUUAUUUUUGCAGCAUGAUGUCACAUAAUCAAUGUAUGUUUCAAUGUAUAGACCAUGCUGUCUUUUCUGUCCUAGUAAUUUUUCUGUUUAUCAACAAGUACAUAGCGAUCGAACAACAAAUAGAUGCAUAAUAAGCUUCUAUCUAGGGUGAUCAUCGCAGGCUAUAUCUUAGAUACUUACGGGGAAAAAAAGGAAAAAAAAAAGAAGUAAGAAACCGACAUUAUGUGAAGGCCAGUUUAAGCAUGUAUAUAUAUCUGCCUAUUUGAACAUAUUAAUUAAAAAAUUGAAGUUCGAGAAGUUAUCCAUCAGUUCAAACUUCUACAAUUAUCUAUAUAUUAUCCUCAUUCAUUUUUUUGUAGGUUUCUAGCGAUCAAUUAAUUUUUAAUUUUGCUUACACAGGUUUUCAGUUCCUGGAUGCACUUCUGUGCCGUACGAGUCUUUGCAGAGAGUAUUCUCCGAUACGGUUUGCCUCCGUCAUUCCUGGUAUCAACACUUCUUCCCUGCCUUUCUAUUAUGGCCGCUCAUAUCACACAAUGACAUGAUGUUUCUAUCAAUCCAAAAUUACUUUCAGUCUGCUGUGUUAGCACCAACUACUAAAAGCGAGAAGAAAGUGCGGGCUAUCUUGGAACAGCUUUGUGGCAACGUCCAUAGGUAUUUGAAAUGUUGUCUAUACUUUUCUCCUUCUAUAUUGCAAAUUUUAUCUUUUGUUAACUGCGCUAUGAACUACACCAUCAUUGAUGUGUAAUUUAUCAUCUGUUAGCCUUGUUCUAGGGGGCACUUCACCUGAAAAUUGCCAACUUGGCCUGGUUUCUAGGAAGAGCUUAUUAUCUGCAUGAGAUGGUUUUUAGCAUACAUGCCCCUACAGAUAUGCGAAAUUGCACAACUACCCCUGUAAAAUUUGUAUUUUCAUUUGUGCCCUUGAACAUGCAUGCCACUUGUAUGCAAAAGCACGGGGUGUCUAUGCUAAGAAGUUUUGCAUAGAUAACCUUCAUAGGGCAUUUGGGGAAAUAGACGAUGUUUUCAAGGGUACACACGGGUAAGCUUGGAAAUUCCGACUUUCAGGGGUAUUUGCCUGAUUUCACACAUUGCAGCAGUCCAUAUGCAAAAUCUCGAAUCUAGAACUUUUAGCUAGAGUGGGGACCCUAAAUUUCAGAAAGUCCAACAUGAAUCCGCUGCUUUGGGCUUCACCGAGAAGCUGCGUUGAGAAUUUAAUGAAAAAGCUGGUAGGUCUCGUAGAAGAAAUCUAUAUAAACAUCAAUUAAUGCGUAAAACUAUCCAAGUCAAAAAAAAAACCCUGGAAGCGCACAGCCUGCCACAGCCGGAGGACCAACUAAUGCAUCUAGGCAUGGUCUUAAGACUUAUUUCUUGCUGCUUAUAGGUAAUGUGAUGCUAACUAAAACUUCUACUCUUUAUAUUUCUUUUUUUAGCAUUUACUGGAAAUCCGAAGACGACGUAGGCAUUGCCGGUAUGGGCGGCGAAGCCGAGGCUUAUCCCUAUGUAUCCUUCACUAUCAGUCUUGUUUAAUAUCAAAUUAACUUCCCAAGCUGUUUUCUGCUUGACCAGGGCUUUUUCAAAAGUAAUUAUCAUUAAUUUUCAUCCCCCAAUAUACCAUCCGAGAGAUUCUCGAUGUAUAUUAUCCUUUGUGACAUGUUCGAUUCUUUCGUUGCUCGCGUUUUACGUAUCCCGAAUUUUGUUCUUUGGGUUGUAGCCGAUGAUCAUCAAUAAAAUGUAACAACAGUGCGAAGUAAAACAUUGUGAUUAUAUCCAUGGAGGGUGAUGCCAUGUAAGUAAUAAUCUGAACUCAUCAAUCAGAAUAUUAUUAUCUCACCCAUCAGAAGCACUUAUUGAUCUGUUUUUGCACUUCCAUAAAAAGAUCUUUUUUAUGCUGCGCUCCUCUUUGGGUUUGCAAUAUUUUUGUGUAUAUUGUCGUAUUUAUUAUAGAAUGAAUUGCUAUGUGCUAUAUUGCGAGGUUAUUAUUGGGUAUUAUAACUGCACUUUUUUGCGCCCAUUUCUCGCGGGCGAUUUCUCAUUGGUUGUGUAGGUGUCUAGUUCCAGUUGAAUCAGUUUCAAAAUUGUUUUCGGAACGGGACGGUGUUUUUCUGAGUGUGAGCACCUAAAAUUCUUUUUAGGGGCAAUUGUUUAUAUACUCCUGAAAAGUUUUCGAUUUUUUUAUUUAUCCCUCUUACAAGGCUAAUAUUGAAAAUACUCUUCUUAUUUUUCAAGUCUUUAAUAUACCCUGUAGUUAAGUUCCGUCAGUGAGCUGCCGUUAUCUCUGAAAAAUUAUCAUUUUAUUUAUUCUAAUAUAUUUUUGUACCGUAACUAACUUUUCUUAUAUAUUCUUCAUAUAGCAAAUAUUUUUUUAAUUUGUCCUUCAAAUAUCAAUUAAUUAAUAAAGCACGUUGGGAGCGAGCAGAUGAACAGAUGAGAUUGCUCACAGCUAAAUCAACCUUGGUGGCUGGAGGUAUAGUUAGUUAAUUCGGAUUCAGCAAAAAUUCGGUACAGAUAUAAUUCGUCUUUUAAUUUUUAAAUUAGUUGAAAAAUACGACUAAAAAACGAAUUCGGCAAUUAUUUAGAUACGUGAUUUAUACGGAUAUUAUACGUUCACCGAUUAAAAUUUUAGGAUAAAAAAUUCAGCUAUAUAAUAAAUAUAUAAUAAUUAAUAUACUAUAUAUAUUAUUAUUAUAAUUUUUAUAUAUAAAUUAAAUAUAUUUAAAAUUAUAAUAAAUAUAUAUUAAUAAUAUAUAAGAGUUAUAUAUUUAAAAAUAUUAAUAAAUAAUUACAAAUUUAUAAAUAAAAUAUUAUAUAAUAAUAUUUCUAUAUAAAAAUAAAAUACUAUAUAACUAUAUAUUUAUAAAUAAAAUCUAUAUAUAUAUAAUGUGACGGAGGUCCACGUGGACCUUCCUCUCACCCGGUCACGAGGCCAAACUGGGCUUCGGUGGACCCGCACACGCUGCUCCUUCCGCGCGCAACACCGCGCCCUCUUGCUCCCCGGCUAGGGCGGUGCAAACGAGCCGAGCUCGAGCCGAGCUUAUGUCAGCUCAAAUUCGGCCUUGAAAUUAAUUUCGAGCCUAAAUCUAGACUCAAGCUCGGCUUGAAAUUAAUUCGAGCCAAGCUCGAUCGAGCGAGCCUAAUUUCGAGUCGAGCCGGAGCUCGAGCUCUAAAUGAGCCGAUGAUAAUUCUGGAGUAUUAUAUAAUCAAUAGUUUAAUUUUUAUAUAAUAUUACUACAAUUUGAUGCAACAUGUCCAAUAGUUCAAAAAUACAAAAUAAUUGUAAGAAAUGUGAGCUAGGGUGACUGCCUGACUGGGUGAAGGUCAAGAGAAGAGAUGAGAGAGAGAGCAGGAGAGAGAAAGAGAGAAGAGAGAGAGAGAGGAACAAAAAAUAAAGAUUUGGGAAUUUGAAUGUUAUCAUGUUUUUGGUUAUGUGCAACAGUAAAAGUCAGAAAGAAAGAGAAAGAUAGUGUGUUAUGUAAAUUUAAAAUUGGGCUCAAUUGCACGAUUGUAUUUGUUUGGGUUUAUUUUAUAGGUCAACAAUAAUGGCCCAAAUUAAUUAAAGCUUAUAUAUAAUUAAAAUACAUUAUUAUUUAUAAAUAUAUUAUAUAUAUAUAUAAUAUAUAGAUAUACAUUAUAUAUGUGUAUAUAUAUAUUAUAAGGCGUCCGGCUAUUAUACAUAUAUAUAUAUAUAUUAAUAUAUAUAAUAUAUAUAUAUAUAGGUCCGGCUAUAUAUAUAUAUAUAUAUAUAUAUAUUACAUAUAUAUCUUAUAUAUAUACUAUAUUAGGGUCCGGAUAUAUAUAUAUAUAUAUAUAUAUAUAUAUUAGGGCUCCCGGUACUAUACUAUUAUGAGUAGGAUUCCCUCGUACUCAUAAGUUGUUUUCGAUGAUAAACGCUUCCGAAUCGACGAUCCAACCGUUUAAACGUUAUUUACACAUUUAAACUUCUUAGAAAUUAAUUUUAUAUUUUUCGACAUUAUUUACUUUACGAUCAAGAGGUCACAAAAUUGACAAUUUUAACGGCGGUAUGGGAUACUUGCAAGUUUAACGAGUGUAAACGAAUCGGAAUUUGUUGAAUUUUUUAUAGAAAAUUCUAUUCACUACAUAGUAAAAGAUCAAUAGCUCCAAUCUUGAAUUUGAAGGAUCCAAAUCAUCCUUUUUUAGGACGUCCAUUCGAUUUUGACCGUUCAUUUAUGCCACUUGAUGGACUUUAUUUGAUUUCGAAAUUUACGAAAUUUUUUUCUAGUAGUUUCAAUACUAGAUCAUAUUUAACAGAGAUGGAUCAGUCAAUUCGGAAGCCUCCAUCUAUUGAAAACAACUUAUGAGUACGAGGGGCUCAAUACUCAUAAUAGUAUAGUAGCCAUGGCCUAUAUAUAUAUAUAUAUAUAUAUUAUAUAUAUAUAUAUAUAUUAAUUAUAUAUAUAUAUAUAUAUAUAUACUAUAUUAUAUAUAUAUAUAUAUUCGAGCUUUUCGAGCCUAAUCUGCGAACGAGCCGAGUAAUAUCAAGUUCGGCUUGAAAUGAAUUUUGAGCCUUUUAUUUGCUUCAAGCUCGGCUCAUUUAAUUUCGAGUCGAGCUCGAGCGAGCCGAAUAUCGAGCGAAACAGAGUCGAACGCGAGCCGGCUCGGUCGUUUGCCAGCCCUAUAUAUUAUUAUUAUAAUUUUUUUAUAUAAAUUAAAUAUAUUUAAAAUUAUAAUAAAUUAUAUUAAUUAUAUAUAAGAGUUAUAUAUUUAAAAUACUCAUAAAUAAUUAUAAAAGAUAUAGUAUAUAUAUAUAUAUAUAUAUAUAUAUAAUUAUAUAUAUAGGUCCGGCUAUAUAUAUAUAUAUAUAUAUACUAUAUACAUAUAUAUCUUAUAUAUAUAUACUAUAUUAGGGUCCGGAUAUAUAUAUAUUAUAUAUAUAUAUAUAUUAGGGUCCCGGUACUAUACUAUUAUGAGUACGAUUCCCUCGUACUCUAAGUUGUUUUCGAUGAUAAAGCUUCCGAAUCGACGAUCCAACACGUUAAACGUAUUUACAACAUUUAAAACUUCUUAGAAAUUAAUUUUAUAUUUUUCGACAUUAUUUACCUUACGAUCAAGAGGUCACAAAAUUGACAAUUUUAACGGCGGUAUGGAUACUUGCAAUUUAACAGUUGUAAACGAAUCGGAAUUUGUUGAAUUUUUUAUAGAAAAUUCUAUUCACUACAUAGAAAAGAUCAAUAGCUCCAUCUUGAAUUUGAAGGAUCCAAAUCAUCCUUUUUUAGGACGUCCUUCGAUUUGACCGUUCAUUUUAUGCCACUUGAUGGACUUUAUUUGAUUUCGAAAUUACGAAAUUUUUUUUUCUAGUAGUUUCAAAUACUUAGAUCAUAUUUAACAGAGUGGAUCGUCAAUUCGGAAGCUCCAUCAUUGAAAACAACUUAUGAGUACGAGGGGCUCCAAUACUCAUAAUAGUAUAGUAGCCAUGGCCUAUAUAUAUAUUAUAUAUAUAUUAUAUAUAUAUAUAUAUAUUAAUUAUAUAUAUAUAUAUAUAUAUAUACUAUAUAUAUAUAUAUAUAUAUUCGAGCUUUUCGAGCCUAAUCUGCGAACGAGCCGAGUAAUACUCAAGUUCGGCUUGAAAUGAAUUUUGAGCCUUUUAUUUGUUCAAAGCUCGGCUCAUUUAAUUUCGAGUCGAGCUCGAGCGAGCCGAAUAUCGAGCGAACAGAGUCGAACGCGAGCCGGCUCGUCGUUUGCCAGCCCUAUAUAUUAUUAUUAUAAUUUUUUAUAUAAAUUAAAUAUAUUUAAAAUUAUAAUAAAUAUAUAUAAUUAAUAUAUAAGAGUUAUAUAUUUAAAAUAUCAUAAAUAAUUUAAAAGUUAUAAAUAAAAUAUUAUAUAAUAAUAUUUCUAUUAUAUAAAUAAAAUACUAUAUAAAUAUAUAUUUAUAAAUAAAAUUAUAUAUAUAUAAUGUGACGGAGGUCCACCGUGGACCUUCCUCUCACCCGGUCCACGAGGCCAAACUGGCUUCGUGGACCGCGCACACGCUGCUCCCUCCGCGUGCAACACCGCGCCCUCUUGCUCCCGGCACGCGGACGGCCUCGGGCGAGAUAGGAUCGUCGCUGCAGCCUUCUUGCUCUCGGUGCCGGCCAAGGCGGCGGAGGAGGACGACGACAACGACGAGAGCGGCGGAGGAGGAGCUCGUGGAGGAGCCGAUCCUGGAAGGGAGGAGCUCAUGGAGGGCACGGAGCUUGCGCUUCGAGAGGGCGGAGAGGUUGGCGGCGGUGGAGGCGCGCGGGGAGGGGACCAAGGGGCGGAGGUGGUCGCCCCAACGGAAGCGCCCGGAGAGGACGACGUCGCGGAGGGACAGGAGGGAGUCGACGACGGGGCGGGGGAAGGAGGAGCGGAGGUUCGAAGGGGUCGCGGUCCUCUCUGCGACGAUGGGGUUGGGGUCGGGGUUGGGGACAACGAUAGGAGGGAGAUCAGGAGGAUAACUUAAGGAAUUAGUAUAAUAUGGUAGGAGGCAAAAUAUGUAUUUUAUUUAGAUUUUAACUCUAGUAUAUAUUUAACCCAUGUUUAAUCCGAGUUAAAUUAACAAAGGAUAACUGUAGGGGUAUUUUAAAAUAACGGUGGAACAUAUGAGGGGCAUUUUAGAAAGAAAAAAAAAAAAGCAGGGGUAGAUCGGAUAUAUCCAAGCCUAUGAGGGUUAUAUAGGCAAUUAUCCCUUCUUUUUAUUGAAAAAUCAGUUUUAUUUACUUUGAAAAAAUAUAUCUGCUUUUAUUUGUCAGAAUUUUUAUUUUUUCCUAAAUGGGAAAAACUGAAAACGGAAAAUAUCAUUUAAUCUGUCUUUUUUUUUUUCUUAGGACUUCUUUAUGAGCAGGACUAUUGUGCUAUUAAAAGCCCAACAGUUUUUGUGCUUCUAACUUUCUAAUCAUUCUUUAAAUUUGAUGGGCGGUUAAAAUGAGGGAGGGAAGAGAUAUUGGAGAAAAAUUCAAGAAGGAAAAUUGAAACACCUAAUACUUUUUUAAAGGGAUAUUUCUUUUCAUUUUCAUUCUAAUCCUCCAUCAAACUUGAUGGGUAAAGUUAGAAGCACAAUGAUUGCUGUGCUGCUGUGUUUCUAAUAGCACAAUAGCCUUGCUCCUCCUUUUACACUAAUCUUAUAAUUUUGUUUCAAUUGUUGAAAUGAUUUUUUUUUAAUUUUAUUUGGCUAAUUAAUCAUUUUUUUUAUCACGUCAGUGUUAUAUUAGAUAAAAAUGACGAACAGAUCGUUCACUGUCUUUAAAAGCGAUUGAAUUAUUUAUCUUUUUUGGAUGGGUUGUUAAGAUUUUUGUAGAUUGUUAGGAAUUGAAUUAUUUAUCUUUUUUGGUUAUUGGUUGUUAAGAUUUUUGUAGAUUGUUAGGAUUGUAUGUGAAUCGUUGAAAUUUUUGAAUGAUUGUUAUGAUUAUUAUAUAUGAAAAAUGGAAAUAAAUGGUAAAUAUUUUUUGUUAAGAAAAAUGUGGUAAACGAUUCGUCGUUUUUCAAUUGUUCUUUCAUCCUAUUGCUGAGUUGAACAAAAUAGUAUUAUUGGGCUAAAUAAAAUCUUAUAAAGUUAUUUUGUAAUUUAUAAUUUUUUAAAGAAUUAAAUCGGAAAAGGUUCCUUUUUUCCUGCAUACCAAACUAGUUCCAUUUUCCAGUUGGAAAGAGCUUUUAACGAGUCUUUCAUUCCACGACCACAAAGCACUUUUCUGCAAAGAACAAUAUUUUGUAUAUUACAACUAAAGUAUCUGUUCCUUUUGUUUUUAAAAUUUUAUUUUGUUUUAUUUAGUGGUUGUGCAUGCAGAUGAAACUGCAAACACACACAAAAAAAAUGAAAAAUAAAAAAUAAUUGUUUCACGGGUAUCCUUUCUAUGGAAGAUGUUUGAAUAAUUGCUUUCUAUUUUUUAGCUUUUUAUAUAUAUUGGUGCUUACUAAAACAACAUUUUUGUGGAACGUCUAAUGCACUAUUCAAACUGCAUAUUCAACACACCUUAGCCUAGACAUCCAUCCAUAGUAGUAGUAUAGUACACCCUCCCAUGUCGCCCAAAGCAAUAACACUUCAGUGUUUAAAAUGUCUAGGCAUUGUUGUAGACUGUAGAGGGAAAUAUAUAUAUAUAUAUAUAUAUUAUUUUUUUUUUGAGAGAUAAAUAGCACACUACCCACUUCGUUUAUUUCAUUUAGAAAUAAACUUAGCUAGAAAUGUGAAUUAACUAGAAUUCGAACUUGGGUCUCGGGUACCAACCACCAGGCCCUUUUGCCACUUGCGCUAGGGACGGUCGGUCUGUAGAGGGAAAUGUUGAACAGGAAAUAUGACCUAUUUUGCAAAGAGCAAAAGUUAAACAAUAGCCAAAUCAUGAAAAACACCACCUGUUGCAUUGAAUAUGAUAUUCAUUAUAGACAUCUUAUUAUACUACUUAUUUAUUUAUCAAAUACCAUAUGCUUUUUUUAAAAAUAUUCAUGUGUCCAAAUAAGAUUAAGAGGAUAAAUAAAGAAAUUUUAUGAAUGCUCUAUUAUUCUCUAUUCCAAUGGAGAGAAAAGAGACGUUGAAAAAAAGGAGAAAAACAAAGAAAGAACAAAACUAAAAAUUUGGAGGGAAAAUUAUUUUCUUUUGAAUUAAAACUUGGAGAGGAAAACAAAAAGAAAAAAUAACCGUGAGUAACAGUCGGUUUCUUUUCUCCCAAAAAGUGCAAGAGAGAGGUAGAGAAAAUGAAAACAAAAAAAAUUUGUUUUCUCUUUUCUUUUUCUCCAAAUAUUCAAACAACAGAGAGAAAAUUUUCAUUUCUUUUCUUCUCUCCUUUUAUCUCCCUCCAAAUGAAAGCAUUCGUAUGCAACACACAAAAUUCUUCAGCACCACAAGAUUACCACAAAAUCAGAUGAAAUAUCUCAGUUGGUGACAUCUCAACAUAUCACAAUUACACAUGAUAUAAUAAUUUGACGAAACACAUACUAUGAAUUAUACUCAUAAGUCGUUUCGCAAUGAGAGAGCUUUUGAAUUCACUAUCCAUAUCAGUAAAUAUAAUUUAGAACAGUUGAAGCAUCUCAAAACCAAAUUUAAUAAUUUUUAAAUUUAUAAUACAAUCUAUCGAACGGGUAUAAAAUAAACGGUCAAAACCAUACCUCCAAGAAAUAAGGAAUACAAUUUCUUAAAUUCAAAAUCGAUUUUAUUGUUCUUAAUCUAUUAGUGAAUAAAAUUUUUAAUUAAAAAUUCAACUGAUUCUGAUUCUUUUACAACGUUAACUAGGAAACGCCCACACAACCCGCUAAAAAUGUCAACUUUCAGUCCCUUUGAUAAUAAGAUAUAUAAUAAUAAAAAACUAUAAAAAUUUAAUUUUUAGAAUAUUUAAAUAUUUUAAAUUAUAUUUAACGGUAUAAAUUGUCGUUGAUUUGAAAACCUUUUUAUCGAAAAUAACUUAUAAGCACCAAGAUGAUUGUAUUUGUACUCAUACAAUGAUACAGUAGCCGAACUCUCUCUAUAUAUGUAUAGACACAUCUCUAUAUAUAUAGACACACCCCACACGUUUCUCACAGCUUGCGGACCAGGCGCGAAGUUGUUGUUUUCCGCCAUUUCUCGGUGGAAAACGCAAACCCAGGUUCUCCAAAUGAAUCGUAAAAUAAUUUUGCGGAAAAUUUUGUUUCGUGGAUAAACAAACAAGCAGAAAACUGUUUUAGGCUCUGAAAUCAGUUUUUGGCUCACUUUUAUGGCGAACCAAACACAGGCACAGCUAAGCGAAAUUGCAAUUCAAGCAUAGAGUAUCGGCACGGAAGGAGAAGAUAAAAGAGGCAAAUCAUUUACUUUUACUGAUUUUUGUAACUAAAUACAACAAGUUUCACAUCUCACUUCAUCAAAUGAAGGGUAAACAAACACAAAAAAAUUAGUGUGCUCUUUGAGUCAUCAAAAGCCAUACCUCUUCUGAGAACCUUCUUCUAGGCCGAGAUCUGGAGAACCCAAAUCCUGCAACAAAACCAACAUAAAAAGCUCUCUUUUGCACGCCGUUUACUGCAUUUGGGUACGACUGGGUAUCUGACGCAUCAAGCACUGAGUUAUAUAACUUUCUGACAAAAGAGGAAAAGGAAGAUCCGAAGUUCAGACUUCACAAAACAGAACAUUCAGUAAAGUCUGCCGCUGCAAUCAUGAGAACCGCAGAAACAAUCUUUCCGCUUUAUGUUGCCAUCUGAAUCACGGACCUGAUCUAUCAUGUAGUUAUAGUGGUAUGUUAACUCCUGAAGCGGAGGGAUAUUUUCAGCGGCAAAGAACAUUAUGUGCGGCAUCCUCUUAUCGUCAUGGUCGUACAGAACAUUUUGCGCGUAGAGAUUCGGCGAACAACUGUGGUUAAUGAAUCUCCCGACAUUUCCACACUCAGCUGCAUCGAUUGUGAAGCCCUUGUCCUGCACAGUGUCGCAAUUAGAACUAGACUGUAGCCCAGGAAUAAUACUCGGGAGCCCUUCCCAAAGAGACUGAUCAUCGUAGUUAUGACCGAUAUCAAAGAGGUAGUCGUCGUUGCUCCUCUGUUCAGCCUCUUUAUCCUGAAGCAGCUCGCCUACAUAUUCGCAUAUGAAGCUUCCGGACGGAAUAGAACUCAAGGAUCUGACUCCCCACCCUCUCGACAGGGUCUUGAAUAUUUCUAGCUGUAUUUUGAUACCAUGCUGGCUCACCCGGUUGUGGCACGAUGGCGGACACUUGCAGUUUGGCCCGCACUCAUAUAUAAGUGGCUUCGCUUGAACAAUAGCGCCGUUGAAAUUAAAUGGAAUUUCCCCUCCAUUUUUCAUCGCACAAGCGCACUUGGCAGAAUCCGAACAGCCGCCAGAACAGUCGCAACCCAUGGGACGAGUCUUGGCGUACCAUGGUGGAUAUAUGAUCUUGGUUAUAUAUUGAAACGGCGGCGGCCGCUCAUCAUCGAUUGUGUUGACCGCACAGAUUGGUAUCUUCUCCUUGCCUUGAGAUAUAUCACGCACGCAUAAACCUUCACGGACUUUCAACCUUUUUGUCUUGUUAACUACAUUUAGGGCAAGUUCGGGUUGCCCUGGCAUUCGUCUCAACUGGAACUUAAAAACAGAAACACCAUGGGGCCCUUUCUCACUCCAAUACUUCUCAACAAGGUACAAUCCUGCGUAAGUGAAUGUUGAGACCAUCUUAAUUCUCCCAUCAGAGCUAUCACUCCCUUUAUGCUCUUUAAAGCCAUGUAUAACCCUCACAGGUGUCUGCAUGUCAAUGCUGUUUUUGAGUGCUAGGUUCCCACGCUCGAGCUUCUGGUCUUCCGCUUCUUUCUUACCAGCAGGUUUUCCUCCCGCGCCAGAAUAUAUUAGUAUAUCCGAACUGUCGAUGUCAUCAGGGUAGCCGCCAGAAGCAACGAUGCUUGUCGCAAGACGUAGACCAUUUUUGACUACAGAAUCUAUACCUCCUUGAUAAGGGCGGUGAAGUCCAACAAUAGAGAGCUCCACCCGAUAGUGGAAUUCGUCCCCGACUUCAACCCCAGGAACGUUUCCUAAUACUGCUUCACCAGAGUUAACAUACUCAUUGCACCUUUUGAGGACUGCAGCUGCCUCUAGAUCGAUCCUGCCAAUCUUGCCCGAUUCCUUUGUUGACUUGGCUUCCUCGCCUUUCAACAACUUUCUACAAACCAACUGAAACAAUCGGAGGAUUCUCCUGACCUUGGUACGAUCAUCAAUGUGCUUCUUGUCACUUCCCUUGCGAUUCCAUUCAAUAGGAACGCACGGGGUGAUGUUGACACUUAAUUCCCGUUUUCCUUCGUAAGUGGUUAAUUCAUGUUUUCCUUGGUACAUGGUUAGUGCUUUUGCAUUCUCAUAAUCCUGAGGCAUCACAUCCUCUUCAUCUUCUUCUUUCAAUUCAUCUACUGGUCGAGAAACAGAUUCACCCCUUGAGGCAAGCUUCUUGUUCAAUACCCUUGCAUCCUUUUUUACCUUAAUUUUUGAUGAACUGGAAGGCGAAUUUCCGAAAGAAGUCCUUUUACUCUGCCGCCACGGACAGUUUUUGGCAGACAUAAGAGCUUGCACGAUUACCGUCUCACUGUAAGCAUCCAAAGAAGCAUCUCCUUCGCUCUGAUCAUCCGCGUCCUGUCUGAGCUUUCGUGGAACAGCAUCUACAGACUUGACGAAAUCGAUCCUAUCCUUCUUAACAAUUUUUUCAAUUGACAACGCUUCAAUUGAUUUCUCUGCCUUUUUUUGGCUAAUCACUAGAGAUCUUUCACCACCAUUCGGACUCUUGUUUCUAACCUUUUCAAGGGAAGCAACUUUUGCUCCAAAUUUCCUCUCACCAUCCAUACUCUCACCCUUCAGUUUCUCAAUAGAAACAGCUUUAACCGACACGAGCGAACUGGUAUUUAUAUCUGCCUCUAGCAUCUUACUAUUAUCCAAGUUAGUUUUGUCUUUCAUAGAUUCCGACGAAAAAUCUUGAAGAUCAAGUUCUUUGCCAGUUUUCCGACUGGUUUCAGAUUUGUCGCCACCAUCAAGAGAACUCUUACUUUCCGGCUUUUCAACCAAAACAAUUUGCCCGGAAACUUCUGAAGCUGCUUGCUGGUUUCCUUCUGAUUUUUUCUCACCAUUCGAGUUCUUAUUUGAGUCAGCAGCUUUCGGGCACUUCUCUUUGCUCGUACGGGUAGUGUUGUUCCUCGCACACCCGACCGGAAAGCGCCGAAUUGCCGAUACCGCUCUUCUUUUAGGAGGAGGGUAAAUCUUCGACGUCAGCCACCGCUUCUCGCCACCGAAACCAUUUAGUUGGCACUCCAAAUUUUCAAAUUUUUCAGCUUGAUCAGAAGAGCUCUCUAUUCCGUUUUCCACCAGAUCCUUUGCGGCCUGCUCAGAACUACCAUCAACUCUUUCCUCCGGGGGUCUGAUUUCAACUCCAAGUAGAGUUUCUGAACCCUUAAUUUUCUCCUCCAAAGAACCAUUUGAUCCAUGCUUUUCCUCUAAAGGGGACGCCCCCGCCAUUUUGUUCGAUUCCGAAGUUCCCGCUGCCGCUUCUCUCGAUGAAACCCUAACCCUAACUAACUCCACGACCGGCGGGAGAACAGGGCCAACGGAAGCACGAAUCGCCCCGUCGGGAUCCAAACCUGGAUCCGGAGCCAUCGCAAUCGGCUUCGGAUCGGCCGUCGCAGGGAAUCGGCCGCAGCCCUUGGGCCAACGGCGCGCGACGGAGAGCUUCCGCGGCUUGAGCUUGAGCGCAGGAGCCGCCAUGAUCGGAGCAGGGGCCUCGAUCAUAGGGAGCGACCUUGGAACACAAUCACGCGCCGCGGAGGAGGUCAAAUCGAAUCGGAAGGAGGGCAAAAUGAAACCCUAGCUACGACACGCGAGGGAGCGGUAGAGGGAGGGGAGAGAGAGAGGUGCGAUACAUACAUUGGACUAGGGUUCGAGGGGAAGCUCGAGAGAGAUCGAGAGACCACCUCACCUCGAUAAUGGUGGAGGAGGAGGAGGAGAACAGCGGUGCCGCGCCGGAGAAGGAGGUGGCGGAGGGGAGGGAGAGAGAGAGAGAGGCGUUAAAUGCCAGAAAUGGGAAGUGAAAAAUGAAAAGUGAAAAAUGAGAAAAAAAAAUUACCCUUUUUAUAGUGGGACUGUUGCGGAUGGUGCUCGAAUAAGGAGGGGGCCGAAUUAUGCGGACGGCGCUGGUCGUCCGGAUCGACCCCACGAUGCGCGGCGGUUUAGCGAUCUCGACCGUCCAUACUGGACGGUUGCGAUCGCACUCUAACGCGACUUUGUAAUCGGCAAUUGAGAAUAUUUCGGCGCCGAGUUUAUACUGGUACAUGCAAACAUCAUUCUUCUAUCCGGUUGUGUAUCACCGUACACUUCCAUAGAAAUAUUUUGCAAAGAGGUGUUAAUUACUCUUUCCUAAAAGCUUAACUUGGAUACGGCGCCGUUGGGCGAACAAACGAAUCAACAAUGCCAAAAAUGUGUAGCUCAGUACGGGCCGAUCGAGCGAUCUCCGCCCUACAGAACAUACAAGAUCAUUAAAUUCUCUCACAGGAAGCUGUUCAUGAAUCUGAAUUCUCGCAAUUCUUCCUCACGACUUCGAACGAAAACAUUAGUUGUAAGUGUUUCAUUGUAGUACAUGCUUAAAACACGCCUUAUUUUGCAACAUUCCACAAUCUAUCUCCGAUCAUCUCAUAAACCAAAAGAAACCCGCAAAUCUCCUCAUAUUCUCACCACCCUGAACAUAGUUUUGAGGACAAGGAUUAAAAUAGCGGCUCGUGCAAACUACGUGCUACCACGCCGUGAAUAACAUUCAAUAGAUUCUUUUGAAACCAUCAAAAUCUGGCGUGGAAAUUAUGUUUUGUGCACCAACUCCUUGACCGCGUCUGCGAGGGAUUGCUCGCCCCGAAUGCUCUCGACCCACUUCGCGUUGAUCCGCACCCGCUCGAGGCUCUGCUUCAGUGCUCUCUCGAAGGAGGGUUUGACCCGGCUAGCGAAGAACUCUUCGACUUCCACAGCUUUCUCAGAGGAGUUAAACUGGUAGUAAAACAAGUAAUACUUUAGUAAGGAAGAUAACUAGUACUACUAAGUGGAUAAACAAUGCAGAGAUUGUAGGUUUCAUCCGAUACCGGCGAUACAAUCGCACUGACGAAUCUUGAGAUUAAAGAGCUUGCUGCCCAUGUCUUUGAGAUAUAGUCCCAGUUCUCCUGCAAUACAUAUAUGUAUGUUAAUGAAAUUUUUCGAUGUAUAACCAUGCGUAAGAUUUCUUCGUACCUGCUCUAUGUUUCUUUAUCUCUUUUUGUUACUUCUAUAUUUUACUAAUAACUAGGGGUGUACACAGUUUGGUCCCAAACUGAAAACCAAACCGAACCAAACCAAAUAAAACUAUUUAGUUUAUAUGGUUUUCAGUUCGAUUCGGUUUUCAAAUUUAUUAAAAUUCGGUUUCUGGUUUCGGUUUCGGUUUCGGUUUGAACACAUUUCUUAAUCGAACAGAACCAAAAACCGAAUAGUAAUAGUUUUACAAAUUUUAUCUGAACUAAUUUAUUAAAUUUUAUAUUUAUGAUCAAAUCUUGAUCAUAUAUCAACACAUUUUUCAAAGUUCUAUGUUUAUAAUUAAAUUUGUUGUCUAAUGAUUCAAUUUUUAAUAUCAAAUUAUAAAAUAAUUCAUAAGAAAAAUUUUAAAAAAAAUCUGAAAAUUAAUUGCAAAACCGAACCAAAAGUAAUUCGUAAUUUUUUCAAAUCGAAAAAUUCGGUUCAGUUUGAGAUUUGCCUAAAAACCAAACCAAUGUCCGCAAUAGGAGUAUGGGACAUUAUUGCGACAAGCAUCGAAUAUCAUAAGGCUAGAAAAGUUCAAGAGAAAAGACAACUUUCUAGGGUUGUGGAGUACAUAUUGAUGUAAAAGCUUAAAUAUCAAACCUCGUUCAGCAUCGGCAUUUGACGGUCUGAAGCAUGAAAUUGCUUUUCCAAUUAUAUGAUUAAAACUAAACCAUAACACAGUACAUUAGUAUAAUAUACGGCGUUAGUUGUUUUUCCAAUUAUACUUUUGAUUAUUGCCCAAUCAACAAUGAUAGUCGCAAAUCAGAACAUUUCAAUGCUAUUGUAACCUCCGAAAGUCCACUUAGGCAACAAUUAGUUACUAAUAUAGUCAAAUUGUAUGGAGUUCAUAACCAAAUGACAUGUACCUUAAGCCAAACCCAUGCAGUUUCACGUCCUUGCCUGCUGAUCCCAAGGCCGUAAAUUGCAUCUUGAUUUCGAACCUAAACAAGCAGACAAUUGAAAAAGGACAAAAAAAAAGAUCUUGUCAAGAGCCAUUUCAUUGAGAGCACUAAAAAGUUACGAAGAUUAAAUACCAACCUUACGGGUCAAUAGAAAAUUCAGGGCCUCGAGGACAAUUUCCUUAUCGGGGCAAGAUGCCAAAGAGCCUAGAAACAAAGGGUGGGGAAAAAAGAAAAUUCAAGAAUGACAAGUUAGCGAAAGAAAUAACAACGAAACCCAAUGUUGAAGCUUGAACCCUUUUCGAGUACUUUUUCGUAGAUUCAAUUCUAACAAUUUAGUCCAUUAAGUUUGUCCAGCAUAAUAGUUGUCUUUUCUCUAGUCUACUACAAGAAACGAAACACCACAUCAGCAUCAUCAACAUAGUUAGAGGACAAGACAAUUUUUGAAGGCAGGCCAUGACAGGAAUAUGUUGCUGUGGCAACUUUUCAAUAAGGUAGAGUAAGAGAGAAAAGACUUUGGACUAAAGUGUUACGCAGAACAAACUUCACGGACUAAAUUUUUCACAUUGAAAUUUUAAGGGCGUUAAAUUAAAACAGAAUCAAACUUCAGAUACUAAAUUUUCACCUAACCUAUUAGUUAAAAAAAAUUAAAAAAAAAAAUUUGUAGACUGUCUUCGCACAGUGAGACGUUUAAUUACUUACCUAAAACACGUACUCUUUCCUGACUUUGAUCCGUCUCUGUGUAUAUCCUUAAGAGAGAUUCAAACCCAGAUUUAUUUGAGGUGCUAACAGUUUGCAUUACACCAAGGUAUGCAGCCUAAAUGACAAUUUCAAAGUACAUUAUUUACGAAGAAAUUAGACUAAAAACCAGUAAAAUAAUAAAUAUCUCGUUUCAACCUUUCUAUUAUCCGGAGGCAAGAGGGGUGUAUUUCGGUCAUUUAAGAAGAUAUUGAAGCGCUUUACUGCUUCAUUUAUAGUCUCUUCAUGACCAAGUCUUACAAGCGCAACUAAAAGAUCGGAUCUUAGCAUUACAUCCAAGUGGUUUUCGCCAUCCUUAGGAUCCCAACCUAAUUUUCUGAAAAUAAAAAUACUACGAGAUUGAGCACAAGGGAAAAGUAUAAGAUUGUUUGACAAUAUGCUAAAUCAGAAUAAAUUGCACCUAUCUCACAACUUAUACUGCCUAAAAUUGAGGAAUUUACCUUUUAUAAACUCAUCUAACUGACAUAUAUAUGCACAUAACUAUCCAGGAAUACCAAAGAAAAAUAUAGUAUGUAAUAGAGAUAUUUAUGUAUAUCUGUGCAGAAUCAUUUAUUUACACGUAGACCCCGUAAAAUCUGCAUAUCCAGAGGUACAGCUUGAAAUUGCAGCUUUUUCUUCCUUCUUUUCAUGGAAGUAGUCUCUUAAGAUGGGGAUCGAUCAAUUCUCCUUUUUUUUGUGCGUUGGGGUAGGUGGAGUGCUGGUUAGAAAAUGUUUUCAAAAGAGAACUAUUUUCGAAAGUACAGAGCUAUAUAUAUAGAGAGAGAGACUUAUGAGUAUAAGGUGAUUGUACUCAUAAAAGUAUAGUAGCCAGAGUGCGGGGUUCUCUCUCUCUCUCUCUCUCUCUCUAUAUAUAUAUAUAUAGAAUGAAGCUAGAAUAUUUUUCAUACUAAAGGAAAUAGUAUUUACUAUAUACGUUUUAGACCUUGGAUACUUAUAAUAGGGUUUAGUGGUGGUAGGAGAAAAGUAUUGAUCCAAGGGCUCUAUAAAGUUGAUAGUAAAUACUGUCCAUUUACUAUCAAUAGUAUUCUAGGCGAACUAUAUAUAUAUAUAUAUAUCUAGUUGAGCUAGAAUACUAUUGGUAGCAAACGAGCUCCAUUGCUAUAGAUUUUGUUUUCGUCUUUUCGAUGAUAGAGCCUCUAAAUCAACGAUCGGCACAGUUGAACAAAAUCUACAUCACUCGAAGAAUCUAGAAAUCAAAUUUAUGUGUUUUCGAUAUUGUUCUCUUGCACAUCAAGUAGACACAAAAAUGAAGAGCUAAAAAUAAAUAACCUUCAAAAAGUGAUGAUGAGAUUUUUGUAAUCAAGAUCAAGAGUAUAGAUCUUGUUUUAAAUAGUUUAAAAUUUUUUCUAACCAAAAUUUAAUUGAUUUAGAUUUGUUUACACAGUUAAACAAGCAAACCCCUCCCAUCGACCUUUAAAAUUAUAAAUUUUGCAACCCUUUGAUCAUUAGAUCAAUGACGUCGAAAGGAUUUGAAAUUUGAUUUCUAGAUACUUCUAGAAUAGAUCAUGUUCAACGGUGGCGAUCGUCGAUUUGAAGACUCCAUCAUUAAAAACAAAUCAGUAGCAACGAAGCCCGUUUGCUACCGACAGUAUUCUAGCUCAACUCUCUCUCUCUCUCUCUCUCUCUCUCUCUCUCUCUCUCUCUCUCUCUCUAUAUAUAUAUAUAUAUAUAUAUAUAUAUAUAUACACCUUGUGAUCAAAUCAUGUUAAAAUGAACAGUACAAAUUGAACAAUCUUUAGAAAUUGAGGAUAGAACUUUUAAGUUCAAGGUAAAGGAUGCUUGAGCUUGAUCUAGAUAGUGUAAAAUAUUUUCUAUUAAAAAUUCAAUAAAUUUAGAUUCUUCUAUGCCGUUAAACUACAAAGUCAUCAUAUUAGCCUUUGAAAAUUGGCAAUUUUGAGAUGGUUCGAUCAUAAGGUAAACAAUGUCGACAAAAUAUAAAAUUUUAUUUAUAAAAACUUCAAAUACCCUAGUUCAAUUUUAAUGGUGUGGAGCAUCAAUUAAUAAACACCCUAAAGUCAAAAGCGAGACUAUCGUAAGGGAGCCCUCUAUAGUAUAGGUGCAUUGCUCUCUCUCUCUCCCCCCUCCAAUUUAUAUUUUAGUUACUGAAAAAGUUUAAAGAGAUGCCAUGCAGAAACUGACAUAGGCCAUCAAUAUGCAUUAAUUAUCAUGUCUCGAUUAUACAUACUUUGCAGCAGACAGAAGAAGAUUGAUGAGAAAGAGUUUGAUGUCAUUGGCCAACUCUGGAGUGGCAUCCAUUACCACAUCUGCGAUCUUACAACUAAUCUGCAAGCCAAAGAAAAAAGUAAUUACACUUGAAAGAAUAGAUUAAAAAUGUAACGUAAGAGGUGAAGGUAUACACACCACUAUUACGUGAGAAAGCACAGUAUAAUCGAACUCUUCACCAUAAGCACUCAACAAGAAAAGUAAAGAUGACAAUGUUUGUUUGCAGGCCACAGAAAGGGCAUAUGAAUCUUCUACUACGCCUGCAUUAGAAAUAUUAGAAUGAUCAUAAUUGACAUCGAAGCUUACUUGAACAAGAUUGGAAGGGGCUUUUUACAUAUAUAUCCCUGCAAAAUAGUCAAUGUACAUGUAUACUCCUGCAAAAAGUGAGUUAUUACACAUAGCCCACGAAAGUGCAGCUUUGUACCAAAAUAUCCAUACCUCAUUCAGAAGUCAUCUGAUCCAUGGAUCAAGGUAGUAUUCGACUAGAAUAAGUUUUUUAGUUAAGGGCCACUUUAUGUGACUUCAAGGGUAUAGGAAGUUCUUAAGAUUUGAAGGGUACAUAUACUACCAAAAUUGAGAUUUUACAACAAUAUACAUAUAUGUAAACAUCGUAUUCUACUAGGAUAAGGUUUUUAGGAAAGGGCAACUUUAUGUGACUUCAAGGAUAGGGAAGUAGGUUCUUAAGAUUUGAGGGUACAUACACUACCAAAAUUGAGAUUUUACAACAAUAUAGAUAUAUGUAAACAUCUCAAUUUGGAAAUACAGGUCAAUUAAUCAGUACUUAAUCCUAUUACCUAUUUUGUCCAUUAAAGAGAGCUUAUUGGCCUGUACUGCAUAUCUAAUUCCAGCAGCAAGCUCAUCAUCAUAUUUCACUCUGUAAAAGCCUGUUUGGUCUACAUUCAACUUAAUCCAGAAGCGUUCACCAUUCUCAUUGUUCGGAUCAUGAGAACUGACAAGCUCCUUUAUGUCCAACUUAUGAUAUUUUGAUUUCAGCAGAAACUUUUCCUGGGGAUUAUAGGAACCGCAGCAUAAUGUUACAGGAAUAAUCCACAUGCCAGUACCAGAAGAUCCAUCAGAUAAAAACUGUGCCUGCAAAGAAGAAGCAAUGUCAAAUGUUAUUGGAAGGAGGGGAACCAAAAAAAUAAAAAACUUAAUAGAACUACAAAAGCACCAUUACUCCUUUUUUUAAAAAGAUCAAGCUCUUGUAUGAUCAACAAGGUAUGAUCAAAUGGAACAUAUGAGGUGAUUGCCACGAAAGACUUAUUUAAAGAAGAGAUAAAUAUAUUGGACUAAGCAACAGAAAUCUAAUUGGCUCUUGUUGGGGAAAAAAACAAGAAGAAUAAGUUAGAGCGAUUGUUGAGUGUUAGGAGUAGGUAAAUGCUUUUCUUAGUUGCGAUAAAAAAGAAACAUGUAAAGAAUUCUAAAAGACAAACCUGCUCAAGCUCCAACUCAUGCUUUUUAAGGUUUGCAUAAAUAACAGGAUAUCCUUGUUGCUUUGUCCACGAAUUCAUCAAAUCCUUGACAGGUUCUCUGGACUUCUCUUCAAGAACAGCCCAAAGGUCUUCAGUCUUAGCAUUUGAGUAGGUGUAUUUUUUUAUGUACGAAGCGAGAGCUUGCUGAAAUUUAAAAUUAACAAACGUAUCAUCAAUAAAACAUAUAGAUAUGAACAAUUCAUGACGACUAGCCCAAGGAGAAAAAUUAGACUGUAGAAAGAGUAAAAAGAAAAGGCUAAAAUACAGAAAAUCAGUUGGAUAUAUUAUGAUUUGCACUUUAAUCAAAACCUAUAGAUAACCCCAUAGAUAACCCCUCAAUUUAUUUGAAAAUCUUACAUUUUUACUACCUACAGGAGGGAGUAAAAUGCUGACGUAUCACAAGUGUUGAGAUUAUCAGCAGGGUUUAAUUAUCAAAAGGGAUAAGUGUAAAUCACCCUAUAUCCAAGGCUGUAAUCUGCAUUUUAGCCAAAAAAAAAAAAAAAAGCUACUAAGCUGCAAAAAGAACAUCUUCAGUACCAGAAUUUUGUGCUCUGAAUACGAUAUAUAACAAAUGAACGCUCGCUAUUACAUGAAGCGUGAAUAAUUGCAGAUAUAGAGGAAUUUCACAUCAGUAAUCCCAGAAAACAAACUCAAAACUCAGAGAACAUUAAGCCAUUAAGGAAGAAUUUAAAGCGAAACUGGGGAAAAGCUGACAACCAACCUGGAAAGAUUCCGCACCAAGGUAACUCUGCAGCAUUCUGAUAACAGAGGCACCCUUGUCAUAGCUUAUCGAGUCAAAAAUUGCAUCAAUCUCAUUGGCAUGGUUUAUUUCGACCUGAACAAAUGUGGAAACAUUUUGAGGCAUUGUAAAACAUAGCUCUUACCUACAAAAGGUAUGCGGGACAAUCACAUAUCCAUAUAUAAGUAUGCUCACGCAUGCUUGCGAACAUACUAACGUAUGGAUGUGUGAAUGCCCUACAUCCCUUUUCUAGGUAAGAACAUACUUUUAUGUAUGCAUACUAACAUAUUUAUGCAUGCAUGCAUGCAUGAUAUGCGAAUAUCCCACAUCCCUUUUGUAGGUAAGAAGGGGACAUCACUUUCCUAGGUAUGGGUGUGCGUUACCUCAAUAGGAUGUGAUUCAGAAAGUGCAUCAAGCAUAAGGCCCGCAGCAGUUUCUUCAAGAAAUUGAGUCCAAAUCUUCCAUUCAGGGAACAAGGAAUCUACUGCUAAAUAGCUCACCUGUUAAAAGAGCAAAACAGAAAUGCAACAGAAGUUUCUAUUGUAAGUUACAAUCACUCAAAAUGGCAAGAAUAAUAUUACGUCCCUUACCCAUGAUGCAAAUCCCUCAUUUAGCCAUAAGUGUGUCCACCAUUCCAUUGUCACCAGAUUUCCAAACCAUUGGUGUGCCAACUCAUGUGCUACAGUAAUCGCCACCUAAGAAGAAUUAAACAGGUAGAACAAAGAGAGAAUAUGUUAGAUCCAAGACAAUUUCGCUCUCACGGUGAAGCGCCAUCAAGCACAGAUUUAAUCCAAAUUUUGAAUAAUCUUCAAGCAUUAAGAACUAAAGUAAGAGCCAUCAAGAAUUAAGGACUGAUCACCGAUUGUUUGUUUGAUGCUGAUGAUAAGCGAUCAUCAUAGAGCAAAGCUGUUUCUCGAUAAGUGACUAAUCCAUAGUUCUCCAUAGCACCAGCAGCAAAAUCAGGAAUAGCUACCAUAUCCAAUUUGGGAAGAGGAUAAGGCACCGCAAAAUAACUAAGAAAUGAAAAUGAACAACUGUUAAUGAUCCUAUAAAAAUUUCCAACUAAUGUAAAUGAAAACGAACAACUGUUAGUGAAGCUACAGAAAUUUUCAGAUGUAUGUAACAAAAGAACUCAUGCCAAUUGAUGGAUAAAAUUUGACAACAAAUCAAAAUUAAUUACUUCUCAUAGAGUUGAAGCGACUUCACAGCAACAUCUAAAGCAAACUUCCCUUGACUGCUCUUACCAACUUGACAAUAUACGCGAACUUUUGUACCUAAAGAAAUAUGCACAAGCCCAUCAAUUUAUCUUCUAUAUAAUUUGGAAGGAAAGAAUGGGACUGGUUAAAGAAUAGGUUAUAUACUUCUAUAUCGUACCAUCUGGUAAUUUGUCUUCUAUAUAGUCAAAUAAACCAACAACAAUAGCCACCAAGUAAGUUGACAUAAUUGGUGAUUCCUCAAAAGAGAGUGUCUUGACAACUCCAUUAACUUUCUCUUCAGCAACAGGCAUAUUGGAUAAUGCUACGAGCUCAGAGGGUACUUCCAGUGUAAUCUUGAAGGUAGCCUGAAGACAUCAGGAUAGGAAAAGAAUAUGACACUGGUGUAGAAAUUUUCAAGAACAACAGUUAGCCUAAAAUCAAAGAUGAAGGCAAAACAGCGGGGCAAAUUGACUGAAUCUAUUCAGAAAAGCACUAAUAGCUUUUUCAUAGAUACAACAUAGAUCCGUUGACAAAUUUGUGCUGCUACAAAUAUAGAAGCUUCAAAUGGGGGACUGUUUUUGGGGUAUAAAGCUUAUUUAAAUUUCCACCAUAGCAAAAGCUCCAAGCUUUUCAUUUUGCAAAGUGCUAAGCUUCCACUUUUCAGAGUAGAGAAGCUAUUUAGAAGCUGGGUAUUCACUAAGCAAUCUAAACUAAAAGUUUCGAGUUUUUGGCUUUUCUGGUUUUAGAUGAACACACUAUUUGAGUUUUUGCUUUUAGAUGAACACAACAUUUUAUUUGUUUACAGAGUUCAAGCAGUAGCAUCACCAUUCAAAUUAAGCAAAAGUUUAAGGGCUUCAGGAAAAAAAAAAUAUACAAAUGCUUCUGAUGGAUCCUUUCUCUAAUUAGUUUAAUGACUUUUACUGGUGUUUGGAUCUUCUAGUAAUUUAUACGUAUUGCUUCAUGCGUUGUAAAGCACUCAACUAAGUAAACAAUCCUUCAUAUUAUAAUUUACUAAUCUUUAUUAUGGUUGUGCCAAUAGAUCAUAGAUCAAAACGAAAUAAUACAAAAAAGUUUUCAACAUGAAAUUCUUUUAAAGGAAGAGGCAUGCAAGAGAGUAAAAUGAACCACAGUUUGUUUCAUUUGAGCAACUUGAUGGUUCUUCCUUGGCAAAAUUUAGCCACAUUGUUUGGUUUAUCUCAAACAAUUUAUGUGACUACUGACUAAGUUCCUGUUAAAGCAGAUAUCUCACCCUAAUUCUGCAUAGAAGAGACAUCAAAAGAUGUCGUAGUUAAGUAGGCAUCCUAAAACAAGCCAUAGGCUGGAUUAGUUCCAUCUGUGUCUACCAAGAUACAAAUGUAAGCACCUUAAAUGCAGGUUCGUCCCAGCAUGGGAAACACCGUCUAGCAUCAACAGCCUCGAACUGCGUCACGGCCAUGUUUCUUAUCUCCCCAUUAUACUCGUACUUACUGCACGAGAAAUAACAUUAACUAGUCAGAAAAGUAUUUACACAUUAGAAAAAAAAAAAAAUCAAAACAUUCUAGAAGAUUAAGCUUUUACAGAAUAUUGGUGGUUUCGCAUGGUAUGAUAACAAAAGGUCCUGAGAUCAAGUCUUCAUAGGCUGCUAUAUUUUAAAUUUUCACCUGUUAAGUUCAAGUCCAUGCUUGAAACAAUAUGAGGAGUUUUAAAUAUAAAUGAGAGAAUAACAGUAGUUUCAUAUAAUAUCAUAGCAGAUUGUCGUUUAACUUCCUCUCAUUUAAGUUAAGUCUAACUUAUCGAAAGUCUCGUUUUCAUAGUAAAACAUCAUUCUCUAAAAAAUGAAACCAAAUUAUUCACAUUAUCGAUCAAACUCCUACAUACGAACAGCUAGUUACAAAUAAAAGAAAAUAGAGAUCAAAGUCAAAACGAAUUUACCUUCGGUAGAACCCCCUCAUCUGGUCAUUUAGGGUCCCUGUGAACCCAAUUCUCAGUUCCCCAUCCCCAAUAGGAAGCGUCGUGUCGAACCCCACAACCAAGAUCUCAUCCUCCUCCACUGCGACGACCUCCGAGGGCUUGAGCUCCUGCAAUCACAAACACACCCCAUCGAGACCACUGUUACCCAAAAGAUCCAUCAAGUAGGACACGACUCAGCAUCGAUUCUAACAUCCCCCACUCAUGUGCAUUCUGAAUCUUGCACUACCCGAUAUGUCAUAAAAUGGCGGAUGUCGGAAUCGUACUCAUGCCCCAUUGGAGUGGAGGGGGCUCGAGACCAUCUCUCAUAUUAUAUUAUCCAAAUGAUUGAUGUAGCAAGAAAAGGUUCGGCCGUCCUAUAUGCACUAACUGAAGAGGUAACAACAGAGACAACAGAAUGAUUGACUGAAGUAUACAUCAUAAGAUGACAAAAUGCAGGAAUCAAACUCAGGUCCCAUUGAAAUGAAGGGGCUUAGGACUAGCAAGGAAAAGGUCCAGUUGUGCAUGGUGAGCAUCCAGUAAAGAACACUCCGUGCACCAACAAAUGAGAUUACAAAAAGAAAAGACAACUGAACGACAGACGACUGACAGAAUCAUAUACCACAGAAUGGCAGAUAUAAGAAUCGAACUCAACUCAAAUUCUAUUAAAAUGGAAGGGCUCAGGACUCUUUGCCUUAGAUUCUAAGUUUACUAUAUAGCAAGAAAAAUAAAAUAAAAAUAUUUUUAAAAAAAUUAUGAUGGGAUGGUUGACCCCCAAAAAAAAACAGAUCCUGGGGGAUCACCUCGGAGGAUCCGGGGGUAGUGAAGCGGACGGAGGCGGGGUCGACGGCGAGGUCGGCGGCGUUGAGGACGAGGAAGCGCGUGGAGGAGACGACGGCGACGGCGAUGGUCGAGGAUCCCGAGAAGGCGCAUCGGGCGAGGUCGACCCGCAGGGAGAUGACGUACCGCUUAGGGUUUGCGAACCGCGGGAGGCGGGCUUGGCCUUUGAAAUCCUCCACGCUCUGCUGCUCCGCCUUCGCCAUUUUUUGCGCCUCUCUCUCCUUCUCUCUCUCUCUCUCUGUCUCGCUCUUCUUCUUUUUCUUUUUUUUCAGGCCCGUUUGAUGAUUCUUCAAGUAAAAUGACUGAUUGAUUGAUAUAUUUGUACAAAUAUUAUAUAUAUAUAUAUAUAUAUAUAUAUAUAUAUAUAUAUAUAUAUAUAUAUAGAGUGAGACUAUUAUGAUAUCGGAAGCACGGAGUCUUCCGUGCUUCUAGCUCGUUUUCGAUGUUGCGACUUUCAAAUCGUCGAUCGGCUCCGUUAAACGUGAUCUAGAGUAUUUGAAGUACCUAGAAAUAAAUUUUAUUAUUUUUUGAUAUCAUUUGCCUAGUGAUCGAAUGGGCUCAAAAUCAACAAAUUUCAAUGGUCGUAGUAAGCCAUUUGCAAGUUUAACGGUGUAAAAAUAUCCAAAUCAUGUGAAAUUUGAUAGAAAAUUCUUUAUACUAUAUAAACGAGAUCAAUAUCUUUGAUUUAAAAUUUUAAUAUCAUAUUAUCACAUUUUGUAAGAUUUUUAUUUUCAGCCGUUGAUUUUAAGCCUCUUCGUUCACUAGGCAAAUAAUAUCGUAAAAUUAUAAAAUUUAUUUUCUAGGUAUUUCAAAUACUCUAGAUCAAGUUUAACGGAGCCGAUCGACGAUUCGAAAGUCGCAACAUCGAAAAUGAGCUGGAAGCACGGAAGGCUCCGUGCUUCCGAUAGCAUAGUAGCCUCACUAUAUAUAUAUAUAUAUAUAUAUAUAAGUCCGCUUCACCGUAUUUUUAUGAGUAUUGACUCUCUUAUACUCAUAAGUUUUUGGCUCU
rnacentral:lncRNA from 1 species